UUUUUUUUAUGUUUUAUGAGUUUUUUCAAUAUGUAAAAUAGAGAAUCGGGUGAAAUUUAUACUUCCAAUGGCCUAAUUUUUUUAAUUUAAUAUAUUUUAUAAAAUAAAUGAUUAUAACAUAUUUUAACUUAUUGAUUUAUCAAAAUUUAUUUCAACUUUGAUCCCAAAAAUAUUUUUGUAUUCAUAUAUUAUAAUUUUAUAAGUCACUGAAAAUAUAUUAUCACUAAGCUGCUUUAAAAAUACUUUGAAUAAUUAAAAUUUUAGUGUAAUUGUUCUUGCCCAUAACUAUUGUGAUUUAGGUGGAAAUUUAUAUGAUUGAAGAUUAUGUCCAAUUUAUAUGAUUGAAGAUUAUGUCCAAAUUGUUGGCAUUUUGAAAACUUUUUUUCUUUUUUAUCGUUUUGUGUUAAUUCAAUUCUUACUUUCUUUCCUCUACCAACCCGCACCAUACCUCUCAGAGAUAAUGUGAUACUAUCAUAUUCUCAUCGUAUUCGAUUCUAUUUACUUUCUAUAAGAAAUAUUUUAUUAUUAUAGGUCUUCUUGUAUGUGUCAAUUAUAUAAAAAUCUUUACAAAACUAAUACAGAUUAUCAUUACAAUACCUAGAAUAUAAAAUUCUCAAAAUAUCAAAAUAUCGACAUAAAUUUAUUUUUGACUAUAUAUAUUGAUAAUUUUGAAUUUUAAAAUUUUCUCAUCGCCUAGUCUCCAUAAUUAAUUGGUUGGCAUUGAUAGUGAGUUGGUGAGAAAAAAUUAAAAUUUAUAAUUAUUGAUAUAUAUGUAUAUAUAUAUACACGUAUGUAUGUAAUCUUAUUUUUUAAUCUAUUAUUCAAUGAUAGGAAGAUUAAAAAAAAGAAAUACAUGAUAACAAGAUUCAUGAAUAUAUUAUUAAUUUGGGAAAUUAGAGUGUAGAGGCAUCUUGAUUUUUUUAUCCGUUCGUCAAGUAUUCUUUAGAUUAAAAGAAUUUUAUAAUAUAAAUAUUCAGUAAACCAUGUCUCUUGAAUUCAAGUGUUGGACAACUAAGAAAAAUACAUGAAAAGUUUAAAUCAUUAAAAUGAAAAUAUUAAAAUGGAUAGGUUGUGUUAUGAAAAUUAUAAAAUAUUAAUGAGAAUGCAUAAUUUUGCUAAAAAAAAAUUGAAGGAGAAUUGAUCAUAAUGGUAUAAAUAUAUAUAUAUGUGAUUUCAAAAAAAAAGAGAGAAUUAUUAGUAUUAAAAUCCAAAGAAAAAUGAACGCAACCCAACACCACAACACAGUCGAAAUCUCUUCCUCCCCCUUUUCUUGGCCUCAAAUUAUUAAUCGAAACCUCAGAUUCCAAAACCCUCCCCAAUCUCCAACUCUCGAAACGAUUGGUCACGGCGUCCUCCACGUGGCCCCACCUCCCCUCACACACCCAAACGCCUCCCUCUCGUUGCUCCCUCUUCGUACCGCUCUUAUACACUCGCUCCAUCAACCUUGCUUCUUACUUGCAAGCAUCAGCCUCGAUGGCGUACGCAACCCAUCCUCUCCUCUCCUCCGCUCUCUUUGGCACCAAUCUCCGCCCCAAAACCAAACCCAUCCCUUCUCUCAAUCCCUUCCUCCUCCCCAGAAGGCCCAGCUCCGUGCAAUCAUUCCUCGAUCGUCACAACAGGAAGAGCCGCCCCGUCCUCCCCCCUUCUCCCACCGCUGCAGCCGCCGCCGCCGCCUUCCUUCUCUCCUCCUCCCUCCCACCUACCGCUAUCGCUGACGACGUCGCCUCGGUUUCGCCUCCCCCCUCGUCGCCUCCCGUCCAGCUGGAGGUUGCCUCCAAGCCCGCUCCCCCCGCCUCCUCGAACCCCUUCUCCCAGUCUCUCCUCACCGCCCCGCGGCCGCAGGCCUCGCCUGACCUCCUAGAUGGCUCCCAGUGGCGCUACAGCGAGUUCCUUAAUGCCGUCAAGAGGGGCAAGGUCGAGCGCGUCCGGUUCAGCAAGGACGGCGGCCUGCUCCAGCUCACGGCCAUCGACGGUCGCCGGGCCGCCGUCGUCGUCCCCAACGACCCUGACCUAAUCGACAUCCUGGCGAUGAACGGCGUGGACAUCUCCGUCUCGGAGGGGGACGGCGGCAAUGGCCUGUUCAAUCUCAUCGGGAACCUCAUCUUCCCGUUCCUCGCCUUCGCCGGCCUGUUCUUCCUAUUCCGCCGGGCCCAGGGCGGGCCCGGUGGCGGCCCGGGUGGGCUUGGCGGGCCGAUGGACUUCGGCCGGUCCAAAUCCAAGUUCCAGGAGGUCCCCGAGACCGGCGUCACCUUCGCCGAUGUCGCCGGGGCUGACCAGGCCAAGCUCGAGCUGCAGGAAGUGGUGGACUUCCUGAAGAACCCGGACAAGUACACGGCUCUGGGGGCGAAGAUCCCCAAAGGUUGCCUCUUGGUGGGCCCACCCGGCACCGGCAAAACGCUGCUGGCCCGAGCUGUGGCGGGAGAGGCCGGCGUGCCCUUCUUCUCGUGCGCGGCGUCCGAGUUCGUGGAGCUGUUCGUGGGUGUGGGGGCGUCGAGGGUCCGGGAUUUAUUCGAGAAAGCGAAGGCUAAGGCACCUUGCAUUGUGUUCAUCGAUGAAAUUGAUGCGGUGGGAAGGCAGAGGGGGGCCGGGCUUGGCGGUGGCAACGAUGAGAGGGAGCAGACCAUCAAUCAGCUCUUGACAGAGAUGGAUGGGUUCUCUGGGAACAGUGGGGUGAUUGUUUUGGCAGCGACCAACAGGCCGGACGUGCUUGAUUCGGCACUGCUACGGCCUGGAAGGUUCGAUCGGCAGGUCACAGUGGAUAGGCCUGAUGUAGCUGGCAGGGUGAAGAUCCUACAGGUUAGUUGGUAUAAUGUGGAUACAUUGAAUCUUUAUAAUGGGCAUUGUUUUAAUGGUUUUUGAUAAUUUUGUACAUGUUCUGCAGAAUAUUAGUUCACAGCAAGAUGUUGUUUUGAUGCUUUGUUAAUGAUGGUGUUCAUGUUUUUGAUAAAAUUGCACAUGUUUUGCAAAAUAAUUAGUUCUUAGGUGACUAAAUUGUUCUCAUAUCAUAAAAGUUGACUCAAAUGAGCUUAAAAAUGAACAUCUCAAGGAAGAAAAAAAUAUAUCUUGAUGAAAUGGGAACAGUGGAUAGGCCUGAUGUAGCUGGCUGGGUGAAGAUCCUACAGGUUAGUUGGUAUAAUGUGGAUACAGUGAAUCUUUAUUAUGGGCAUUGUUUUAAUGGUUUUUGAUAAUUUUGUACAUGUUCUGCAGAAUAUUAGUUCAUAGCCAGAUGUUGUUUUGAUGCUUUGUUAAUGAUGGUGUUCAUGUUUUUGAUAAAAUUGCACAUGUUUUGCAAAAUAAUUAGUUCUUAGGUGACUAAGUUGUUUCCAUAUCAUAAAAGUUUGACUCAAAUGAGCUUAAAAAUGAACAUCUCAAGGAAGAAAAAAAUAUAUUUCUUGAUGAAAUCUUGCUUGCUUUUGGGAUUCCAUCAUGCAUUAUUCCUUCAUGUUCUGGUUCCUAGCUAAUUCGGUCCAUGAAAUGGGAGGCUGAUCUGAAGUAAAUAUGCAGCAAUUGAGACUGUUACGAUUGUAAGUGAUCAUCAUGAUGAAGCUUCAGCUACCAGUGCUCCUGAUUCUAUUUUUAUCAAAGUUUUAAAUCUUAAAUGAUCGCAAACAGCUAGUGAUAAAUGAAGAUGUAAUUUGUUCUAUUUGAUUUGUGCUGUUACUAUUAUUUGGCUGAUUCGUCCAGGCAGAAAUGUCUCUGCUAUUUUAAGAUAUUGAUGAAUACUAAGUUCUCUAUUGAUGCUUCGAACAGACACUUAUUUGCGUUCAUUGUUUUGCCUUAUGACAAAUUUCUAAUGUAACUAUGUUAAAAUAUGACUAAUUUGUUGUGAGUUUGUACUUUAGCAUCACUGCUGCAUGCAGUGUUUCUGACCUGCUGUAUCAAUGGCACUUUCUUUUGUAUUUUCAAGUAGAAUUUCUAAUUUUGGUGUUAUAUCUAUGUGUUUGAUGUGAAACUUAAGAAUACUUGCUUUGAUGCUGCCCUCAAACAUAGAUUUCUUUUGUUUGGACUAAAUGAUAAAUCACUGAUGUGAAGGUUUUUACUGCUUAGGGAGGUUUAGACUUGAGAAGUAGUUACUAUUAAUCAUCUAGCAAAGCAAGAAAUGGAUGAAGGAACAUGUGCACAUUAUGUAAAAUAGAGUGAGAAUCAGAAUAUAAAAAAAAUCAAUGUUAGGAUUCAUUACAGGAUUAGUAGGAGAUUACUUGAAGACUCUCACCCAACAAGGGGACUCAACAACCUUGAGACUUUAUAUCGUUAAUUAUAUACUAUUAUAUAAAUUUAUUAAAGCUUUCCUACUUUCUUGAAUUGCACCAAGCCUUGUUUUUAGAACUCAUCUUGAGUGACCAUUGAGAAUGAACUUGAAUACAUGACUGUUGCCUCUACUUGAAAGUCUACCUCAUUCAAAGAUUAAAAGAAAAAAAAGAAAUUUGUCGGUACCAUACUGGAACUUGGUUGUGGGAUAUAAAUGCAUCAUUAGUUUUAUUGAUUAUUCUUGUACUUUCAAAUUUUGAUCAUAUUCCACCAUUUUAGUUUUUGUUGUAGCAACUACACUGGAAAAUUGUGUGUAUAUAUAUGUAUAAACAAUUUGGUGGAUAUCUGGCUUAAUAUUUGGUAUUAUAGUUGAAGGCAAUUUUUUGCAAACUUUAUUUUCGGUGAUAUUGUAGACGAUGCCCUUAUCUUACAUCUGCUAGGUGUAAAUAUGUUAAGUCAGCAUAUCCUUGUGAGUACCUUUGACACUUGAAAAGUUGUAGAGCAUAGCCAAAGCAUUUCUGCAUAAUGUGAAUAUGGUCCUUGACCACUGUAUAAGUUUGUGGUUUGUUUAGUUGAAGAUAUAAUUUAAUCUUUUAUGAUUUUCCUGAAUAAUGGAUACUACCCAGUAGAUGAUACCUGUUGUAGAGUUUCUAAGAACUUUUAUUCUAUUUCCAGGUUCAUUCAAGAGGAAAGGCACUUGCUAAGGAUGUAGAUUUUGAAAAAAUUGCUAGAAGAACCCCGGGAUUCACUGGAGCCGACUUGCAAAACCUGAUGAAUGAAGCAGCUAUUCUUGCAGCCAGACGCGACCUUAAAGAAAUAAGCAAGGAUGAGAUCUCAGAUGCUCUAGAGAGAAUAAUUGCAGGGCCCGAAAAGAAAAAUGCAGUUGUCUCAGAUGAGAAGAAGAAGCUUGUAGCGUACCAUGGUAUACUGUUGCACGAACUUAGUCUAAACUCUUGCUGCAUGCCUUGAGGUCAAAAAAAUUGAUAGAUCCUGUAUGUUCUUUGCAGAGGCUGGACAUGCCCUUGUGGGUGCACUCAUGCCUGAGUAUGAUCCGGUUGCCAAGAUCUCCAUCAUCCCUCGAGGUCAAGCUGGUGGGCUUACAUUCUUUGCCCCGAGCGAGGAAAGGCUCGAGUCAGGACUUUACAGCAGAAGCUACCUAGAGAAUCAAAUGGCCGUUGCCCUCGGUGGAAGGUUGGAAAAAGAAGCAUUGAUAUUCCAAACUUUUCCCACUCCUCUCAUUUAGAUUAAGAUUUUAUGUACAAUUAACAUUCUAUCACUCAUGUAUAGCUGCUGCAUUUCAGGGUGGCAGAGGAGGUAAUUUUUGGGGAAGAGAAAGUCACAACAGGAGCUUCAAAUGACUUCAUGCAGGUUUCACGAGUGGCAAGACAAAUGGUUGAGAGGCUUGGAUUCAGCAAAAGAAUUGGGCAGGUUGCGAUAGGCGGACCUGGUGGUAAUCCGUUCUUAGGUCAACAGGUAUUUAAACAUUAAUAAUUCGAAUAAUGUUUCUUAACCUGCAUGUUUAGGCUUGCACUGAUAAUGGCGUGGAUGUCGAUUUUGACAGAUGUCAUCUCAAAAGGAUUAUUCCAUGGCAACUGCUGAUGUGGUGGAUUCUGAGGUUAGAGAGCUUGUGGAGAGGGCUUAUGCCAGGGCCAAGCAAAUCAUUACCACUCACAUUGAUAUCCUUCAUAAGCUGGCACAACUUCUCAUUGAGAAGGAGACCGUUGAUGGAGAGGAGUUCAUGAGCCUGUUUAUUGAUGGCAAAGCAGAAUUAUAUGUUGCAUGACCUAACCAAUACCCUUAAGUUUUCCCUGUUGUUGAAUUAUGUUCACAACACAUUCAAGGAAAAAAAAAGAAAAAGCAAGUGAAUAAUUAGAUUGACAUAGCUAUGAUGCAUUUUGUAUAUACAUCCUAUUUUUCUUAUCUUGAUAAUGGAGAUUCAGUAAAUACUGCUGAGCUAUUAUGAACUACUAAGCUUCCUUGUUUCAUUUUGUGGUCUUUUGAUGCAUUUUAAAAAUCAUAACGGAAUAUUUCUUCUAAUGAUUAUUUGAUUGACAUGUACAUGGUUUUAUCUUUGGCUUUCUUCUCUUUUGAGAAUUGGCAAUGGAAGACAGAAAUAGAGAUGGUAUUGUUCUUGAUAUUGUAACAUUGUAUACAUGUGGAUGUCCAAUUUUGUGCUCAACCUUGUUGCUUUUGUUUUGGUAAUAUGGGAGUCCUUUUACAUGUUUUAGCAUUCAAAAAGCAAUUUGCUCUCUUUGUGAUGUUUUUAGUCUAAACUACUUGCAAUUUGCUUAAUCUUUUUGUUCUUUCUCUCUCACCAUGGCCAAGGGGAGACAUUUUUCCUAUCAGUGGCUGCACCAAAAAUAUUGGUCUGAACUUUAUGAUACCAGGUUUUUUUUUGUAUCAAUUUAACUUAAGAUGAACAAAUCUAUCACUGAAUAUUUUGUGUUCCUGAUAUGUCAUACUUGCUAACAAUUCUUCUACAGUGCACAAGAAAAUAAUGACAACUAAGAUAUUAUAAUUCACAAUUUUUAAGUUUAGUUUUGGUUGUAUAUUUUUAUUCAAUGAAGUGGAUCAAACUUGAGUUCCUUGUAUUGUUUCCAUAAUUUUUACUCACAUUAGACCAUAAUUUUGAUCUUUUGGUGAUGAUGUGUUCUUCUUUGCAAAGAUAAAGAAGUUAUUUGAGCUUUGGAUCUUACAAUAAUCUAAUUUUAUUAACAUAAAUUUAAGCAGUAAAUUAUAUAUUUAGCUAUUGAUUUGGUAAUGAUAUUAUCAAAUACAAUUAAUACAAUAACAAUAACAAAACUGUAAUGUUUAAUUAUUUAAGAUAGGCAAAUACAAUUAAUAAAUUUUAUAUUUAUAAAUAUAAUUACUAAAAUAUGGUACUUCCAAAUAGUACCAAACUGUUAAUAACAAGUGCUGAACUUUUCCUAAACAAAAGCAGUCAUCCAAAACAUAGAUCUUUUUCGAAGGAGAGUUGGUACAAAAAGAUACUGCCUCAACCAGAGUAUGUAUGAGCUUUAAGGUUGUGUUCCUCCCUGUCCUUUUUUUCUACUUCACUUCCCUCUCCCUUAGAGCUCAUAAGACCCUAGCAGAUCACUUCGAAGGGAUCGACUUCCUUGAUCACUUCGAGGGGAUUGGUCUCGAUCGCUUCAAGGGGAUUGGCCUUCUUAGGUUUAUCCACAGACUGAAAUAAUAUUUCAUUCAUUGAUUGAUUUAAAGAAAGAGUUAUAUCACUAUUUAUAAAGUUCCACCUACAGUUCAUCAGGACUUGGACUCUUAAUAAUAAUUAAAUAUUAAAUAAAUUUUUAUCCAAUUCUAAUUGAAUUAAAUAUGCUCAAUAAAUAACUGGACUAAACUGACUUAAUAAAUAUUAUUCAAAAACUUUAUUUCUCAUAAAAAGAAUUCAACACCAAGCUCAGCGGCCACCACUCAUCCAUGAUAAAAAAAAUCUCUUUGAUCUUGUUAUCUUCUGCCUUGAUCAGCUUCACAAACCUGACAUCCACAAAAGUGUGCGUUGAUCAGCAUUUGCACCCACCACCUCCUAUGCCGCAGAUAGAAGCAGCACCUUUAAUGCUUUUGCUGAUGAUAAAUUAAUUAUAAUCAUUCACCGGUUUAUGUUAGAUACGGAGGAUUUGAAAUGAUGUCUUUCAAAAUUGCUCUUUUAGUUCUUUUGUUUACUUUUUUUUAUUUAGUUCUGAAUUAUGAUAUUGUUUACCUCUCAAAAUACUCAUUGAAAAAAUAUACAGUAAAAAAAUAUAGAGAUGAUGAUGAUUUGGGCCCUAUUCUCAUGCAUGAAAUUGGUAAUCUUUUAUUUGCUAGUUAAUAGAUGGCUCAAUAAAAAAAAAAAAAUCUUUUUUUCAUGAAAUUAUAGAUGGAUCCAUGCUGGUCUGUAAGCUGAGAUGAAGCAUGUUAUUAUUGAAUCCAAUUCUAAAACCUUAAUCAAUUCCGAAAAGAGAGUUAGUUUAUGUUUGAGAACAUAUAUAUAUAUAUAUAUAUAUAUAUAUAUAUAUAUAUAUAUAUAUAUAUAUAUAUAUAUAUAUAUAUAUGAAGAAACUUAAGUGGAUGUGCAGUUGUGGAAUGGUCCAAGUGCUUAGUAAACAAUAGAUGAAAAUUAUAUUUUAAAUAUGUUUUGGUGCUUGAUAAAAUUGUAUUUCAAAAGUUAAUUUAAUGUUAUAUGAUAAAUAUAUCAUUAUAAUAUUUAAAAUAUUUAUUCAAAAUAAAUAAAUAAUUUUUUUAUUUAAAUUAAUAAGUCUCACACACACAGUGUUCAGAUUUUUAUAUCUAUUUUUGGAUAAGAAUUGCCACGGGCGAGUGAUGUACUUGAACGGCUCCCAGCCAUUCAAUUCUACUCGACAAAAGUCACAUCUCUCCCUUUUCCCAUCGUAAUCCUUGUCACUAUAAGUAGAGCGGUCAUAUGAGAGGUUCAGCUUUUGCCACGCGGCACAAUUUCGACCAUGUUUUCUUCGUCUGCCGUGCUCCGUCGUCAUUGGCGGCCACUUGUCUGCGUUAAUCAGUAUGUAGUAUUUAUAUCCGCCAUCUCCCGCCGCAACGAUGAAAGCAGCAGUUCCUCUCAUGGCAUCUGCAACGGACUACGAAGUCGCUGCCUCGCAGCAACAGAGUGACAUAUUUCUCAUCCUUUCUCUCAUCAUCGUCGUCUCUUCUGCCGUCUUCUUAUUGAGAUGGACGAGGAGACAAGGCAGGCCACCCCUGCCUCCGGGACCCGUCGGCCUGCCGCUCCUCGGCAGCCUUCUCUCCCUCGAACCCGACCUGCAUCGCUACUUCGCCCGCCUCGCCCGCGCCUACGGCCCCGACUUCAGCCUCCGUCUCGGGACCAGGCUCUACGUCGUCCUCUCCUCUCCGGCUGCCGUCCGGGAGGUGCUCAAGGACCACGAUGUCAUCUUCGCCAACCGUGAUCCCGCGGCCACCGCCACCGCCGUCCCGGGAACACAGCAUGGUUUGCUCUGGAGCCCCCAUGGCACUCUCUGGAGCACGCUCCGCAAGGUGACCGUGCGGGAGUUCAUCGGCGGCGGCGGUUGCAACGAGGCGGUCCGCUCGCUGCUGCGGCGCGAGGUGCGGCGUGCCAUCGCUCGCCUUCGUGCCCGCGAGGGGGAGCCGGUGGAGGUGUGGGAGCUGGUCUUCUCGACGGCACUCAACGUGUUGACGAGCAUGCUGUGGGGGGGGCUGUCGGAAGACGGCGAUGUGUCAAUGAAGUUCCGGGCGGUGGUGGAGGGAGUCGUCGAGUUGCUGGGGGCACCCAAUGUGUCGGACUUGUUUCCGGUGCUGGCGGCGCUGGAUUUGCAGGGGAUGGGGAGACGGAUGAAGCGGUUGUGGGAUCGUUACGAUGUGCUCUGGAAAAAGUUUGUGGAGGACAGUGGGAGAAGGGGUGAAGAGGAUGAGGGAAAGGGUGGUAAGGCCUUCUUGCAGGUGAUGGUGGAGGUUUUAGAGAGAAGAGAUCAGAAGGACCCACUCACCAUGGAUCAUGUCAAGGCACUGUUUAUGGUAAUGUUUCAUCUUUCCACACCUGCAACUACUGGUAACACAAAUAUUAAAGCAUCUUCCUUGAUGAUCAACAUAGUGUGGCUUUUUUCUUUUUUCUUUUUUCUUUUUUUGCUGAGUCAAUUUUUAUUAUUAUGUUAGCUUAAAAUGUUAAAGUUAAAAUUAAUACUAAUAUAUUUAUUAGAUCCUUAAAAUAAAAAUAAGUAUGCAAGAUAAAUCUUCGUCGUGAAGCGCAUGAAUGAUGUAGCUGAAGGGAAGUAAUUUUCUUGAAAUAUNNNNNNNNNNNNNNNNNNNNAUACCUGUUUCUACGAACAAAUGCAUGGAUGAUAUCAAUUAACUGAAUCCACAGGAACUCAUACUUGGUGGGACGGACACCACUUCGACUACGAUAGAGUGGGCGAUGGCGGAACUGAUGCGCAACCCUGACAUCAUGAGGAAGAUCCAAGACGAGCUCGACGCAGUGGUGGGGAAGGAAAGAGCAGUGGAAGAGUCGGACGUGCCCAAGCUGGAGUACCUUCGUGCAGUCACGAAAGAGACACUCCGGUUACACCCAGUGGCUCCGCUCCUCGUUCCUCGCUCGCCGAGCUCACCUUGCACCGUGGGCGGAUACACCAUUCCCAAGGGCUCCAAGGUCUUCGUAAACGUUUGGAUGAUUCAAAGAGACGCCGCCAUUUGGGGGGAGGAUGCCGUGGAGUUCAGGCCGGAGAGGUUUCUGACAGCUGCAGAUGACAAGUACGGGUUCCGUGGCACUAACUUCGCUUAUCUGCCAUUUGGAUCAGGGAGGAGGAUGUGUGCUGGGAUCUCUCUAGCAGAAAAGAUGGUGACGCACAUGUUGGCUUCCUUCCUGCAUUCCUUUCGCUGGCAACUUCCAGAGGGGGAGAAGCUUGAGCUCGGUGAGAGGUUUGGAAUUGCGUUGACGAAGGCUGAACCACUUGUUCUUGUUCCAACCGCGAGAUUUGAUGAUCCAGAUCUCUAUAGUUAACUCAAAGGGAGAAAUAUUCCAUGUCACGUAAAAUGUUGUAUCUCAAGACUCAUUGUAAUAUUUUGGCUGUUGGCAUCUGAUUCCAUGCAAUCUGCUCAAUUAUCUAUGGUCAGUGUAAUUUUCUCUGUGAAAGUAAACUAUUUAUGAGGUCAUGCAAUUUUUUUCUUUUUCUUAGAAAUUUUUUGUUCUACAGUCAAUCCAAGGUAAUUUUUGUAUAUUAAAUUAGAAUAUUUUAUAUAUGAUUACUAAAUUAGAAUCUUCUAUAGCUUUGUAAAGAGACCCAGUAAUUACUGUCUCUUUGAUUCAUGGAAGAAAGCUUUUUUAAGAUAUUGAUUUAUAAUUAAAUGGGGAUGAUUUAAUUAUAUGAUGUAACUAACUUAAUGUUUAUAUUGAUUUCAGGAUUUUUAGAGUCUAAUUUGACAUUAAAAACCUCCUCAGAUUUCCUUUUGAAAAUAAUAAAAAUAAUAUAUUUAUCUUUCUAAUUUGAGUUGAAGUGAACAUAUCUCAAAUGAUGAUUACAUAUGAUUUAUGGUUACACAUAUUUUUACAUCUACCUUAAGACAAACUAUUUAUUGUAGGGUAUAUUGAAACUAUUGGUUUUGGAAUAGGAUAAACUAUUGGUUGUUAGAAUAGCAAAUGGCCAAUUUGCUAUUCUAACAAACAAAUAAACAUAUAUUUAUUUUAAAUAUAAAAAAUUUAUCCUUUCCAAAAAUUAAAUAAUAACUAGUUGGGGUUAUUUUGGGAAAAGAAAUCCUAUAAAAAUCUAUAAAUACCUCCAAACUUCUCAGUCUUCCUCACACCAAUUCAUCAAGCAAUCAUAACUCUCUUUAAUUGUAAUAUUCUUUGCAAUGGCAAUUUCUCCCUCUCCUAAGCUCUACCUCAAAUUCAAUAACAAGUGAAAGUUCAAUGCAUCAAACCUCAACAUUUAUGAUCGAGGAUAAUUUCGAAGGUCUGAUUGUACUUACUCAAGAGAGCUUACAUUUCACUAUAAAAUAAGAGGAAAAGGAUCCAAAAUUAUGAUGGCUUGUUUUAUUUAGGUCAAGAUGUGAGUUGAUUGUGAUGAUAAGUCGACUUUGUAAUACGUAGAUAUAUACUUGAUCUUAUAUUAGAAUUACACACUUGUGAUAUCUAUGGAAUGUCAUUGAGAACAUUAUCAUUUGCUUAGCUUCUUUUGAUGAAUUUUAAGUUAUACAUGUAUUUUAAAAAAAAUUAUCCGACUAAUUGUUUAGCGAACUUUUGGUACGAUUAAUAGUGUGAAUCUAUUUUAGAGGGAAGAUUAUGCAUGAAAAAGAAUAUAGUAGACUUGAUAUGGACAUGCAACCUACCAUAUCUUUUCAAGGGUGGACGUGAUUAUGAGCUGUCACCAUGGCUUAUCAUGUACACAUCGACUCUUGCAUUUGAUUUGAUAGCCGCACGAAGAAAAAUCUUAGCAACGUAAGCAAUUUGUCAUAAAAAUAAGAUUAUUUUUAUAAUUAAAAUUCUCUAAUAUCCUAGUUCUUAAAUUAAAAAUUUUAUAUUAAAAUUUUUAUAAUUAGACCUAUCUCGAUCCUUAAACUUAAAAAAUUUACAUUAAAAUUUCUAUGAUUAUGAAAGUAAAAUAUUUAACCUCAUUUAUCUUAACGUUGUCGGUUUUAUCGACGAAAGAUAUAAAUUGAGUCAAAAUUAUUUUUUUGUCCAUCGUUUUUGUGUCACUCAUGACAUUGAUAAAGUCGAUCAUUGUAUCAUUCUUGCUUACCACCAUCACAAUGACCACCUACAAUGUCAUCGUCCGCUACUAUCAUUAAACUUAUCUUUUUGUCUAUCAUUUUAUGUUAUUUAUGCAUGUGUUGUCAUACGCUAUAUUUUCCAUCAGUAAAACCAACAAUGUUAGAAUAAAUGAGAUUAAAUAUUUCACUUUCACACCUAUAGAGAUUUCAAUAUAAUUUUUUAAAUUUAAGUACCUAAAAAGUUUAAUUAUAGAGAUUUUAAUAUAUAUUUUUUAAAUAUAAUGAUCGAUAUACUAAAGAAGUCUAAUCGAAUUAAAAAUAAUAUUAGUGGUUUAUAAUGAUGUUUAAUCUUCCUUUACAUCGAUGGUCACACCAUAAUUUACAUCGAAGAGCUAUAAUAAGUUGAUGUAUUAGUUACCACAUGGAUGAGAAAUAAUAUUAAAUUUGAAAGGUGAUGGUUCAAACUUAAUAAAUUAAUUAUUUUAUUAAGUAGAACGUUAUAAGUUUUUAAGUGAGUAAGAUUAAAUAAUUGAUUCAUGAUAAUUAGAACGAUGAUCACUAUUUUAUAUUUGUGGCACCGACUCAAUAGAUUAAUAGAAUAGUUAUUCCAUUAGAGCCACACGAUCCAACAUGCAAAACUGAUAUGAUAAUUAUUGGGUCCAUCGAUUCGUCCAUGAGCUGUUCGACAAAAGGAACAGAUCGGAUUGUGCUGUCAACUUGAAUUCACGUGUUAGCUCUGUGUCCGAUGAUUCAGGUUGGAUAAAUUAAUCCAAGUAUGCAUGCAAUCCAUGAGAUGGAAUCACAGCCUGGCGAUGUGCUUGGACUGUUCCCAGACUCAUCUUUCAACUCUUCGACACAGUAACAAUCGAAUCCUAUUGAUUGCACCGUCAACUUCUAUCUCCUUCUGGUUCAAACCCACGCUUUUCAGGGUUCACAUUGGCCAAAUCAAAGUUUAGAUAAGACUCAUAUUAUUCAAUGACAUGAUUGAGGGCUGCUGUUCUUUCCUGGUGCUUUGGUUUCCUGUGCUGAUGGGUCAAACUUGAUCGUCCAUCGAACGGGGACUAAAAAGACGAGCUCCUUUUUUGUCUUGAGCAUUGAUAUCUAUCUCAUGCUCGAAGAACACUUUGAUGAAACUGAAGACAGCGGCUUUGAAGGAUUGUUGAUCUCCAAGUAAGGGUGUUAAGAAAAUUUACAGUUAUACCGAACAUUAUGUAGAGUGUUUUGUGAGUGAGAGAAUAUAUUUCUGUGUGAAAGAGUUGUUCCAGCAUCCUCUUCUUCUUAUCUUAUGAGAAGGUAAUUUUCAUAAGAACAUCAUCAGCAUUAUUCUCCGUUUUGAUUUGAUAGUAUUUAGAUGAGUUGGAGAGAGCAGAUUAACUUCUUUCAAUACCAUCUCUCAUGCUAACGUAAUUUGUUUAGGCACCAUAGUGUUUUUUUAUUUAUCUUAUCCUCCAUCGACACAAAAAUCCUUUUAUUUUUCGACUUAUGUUGACUCGGAUAGUAGCCACCUAUCAAAUACUUGAAUAAAUACUAAAUUAUUUUGAUAGGAGAGAUGGAUUCUUCAAAGUGCAACCUAAUUCACGAGUGUGGAUUCUUCUCUUAUGAGUAAUAUAUAAUAUGAAUAAUUAGAAGAAUCCUUUGUAUCUUGGAAUCUUAUCAUAAUUAUUUUUUUUAUUGAUCGAUAAUAAUCAUCAAAUUUUAAUUAAAUUUAUAAUACAACUUAUAUAAUUAAAUAGUACGACAUAAUUUAACAAUACUAUGAUCGAAUUCUCCUCCGUAUCUAACAUUACAUUAUUUUAAUGUUGAUGUUCAUAUGUUUUUUAUCUUUCGACUGUUCCACAAGGAAACAAAAUCUAAUCCUUCUAUUCAAGCCAUGCGUUUCACGUUCAUCGUAGACAAACCUAAUCGUAUUCGAUGAAAUGAAUGGUUCACAUUCUAACGUGGCUACUGCUCUUCUAUCCUGUGCUCUCUAUAAACAGCUCCAACGUCUGAGCUAAAUGGCACUCGACACCAACUCUCCAUUCUCCACCCUCGGCGUCGUAGAGAAGAGCAGAGAUUCGAGAUGAAGCUCGCCGUUCCUCUUCUCCUCCUUUCUGUCAUCUCUGCUGCCUUGUUCGCGGUCUCGGCCGCGGUGACGAAGGUCCCCGCCGUCUACGUCUUCGGCGACUCCACCGCUGACGUCGGCAACAACAACUACCUGUCGGGGACGGAUGCCAAGGCGGACUUCCCCCACUACGGGGUUGACUUCCCGCACCAGACGCCCACCGGACGGUUCAGCAAUGGCUACAACACCAUUGAUUUCUUGGGUGCGUGGUUGACCGAUGCCAUGAUUUGACUUUGGGGCGAUAAUAUUUCCUUUUUUCUUAAGAAAAAUAAGAAUAAGUAAGAUAUUCAUCAUUUUUAUUCACAACUAUAAUUCUACCAAUAUUUAUGAAUUAUGCAUUAAAUCAUUAUCAAUGAUUUAAGGGUGACACUAUAUAAUAAUAAAGUUAUUACUUUGCAACAUGAAAUGUUAGUCACCAAAACAACCUCUCCAAAUGCAAAGAAGUAUAUAAUUAUUUUUUUAUAUUUAAUUUGGGGCAACUUUUUAAAAAAACACUCAUAUUUUGUGGUUUUUUUUAAAAAAGGCACCCCAUUUUUUUUAUUGAGGUAUUUUUUUAAUAAUAUUUAUGAUGUUUUAUUGAGGUAUUAAAAUAUUAUAAAUAUUGUUAAAAAAAUAUUAUAAAUAACAUCAUAUUAUGCCUUUUUUAUCGUGUAGUUCAUUACGAUAUUAUAUUGAUUAAGGUUAAGAGUCUAUUUUGUUCAUUUAUAAUGUUUUCGAGUAGGUCAUGUUUUUAUUAUAGUGGUUAAAAUAUAAUAAUAAUUUUUUUUAUUUUAAUUUAGAUGAUAUUAUUCUUAAACUAUUAUACUUAUUUGAAAUCAUAAUAUGAUAUAUCUAACAAUUUUUAAUAUAUUUUCAUUCUAUUUAGCUUAUUUUUCAAGUAGUUUUUAUAGUGCUCCAUUGUGGUGUUCAUAAACACUAUCAUAGAUUAAAAAAAAUAGUUUAGAUAAAUUUUAUAUUAGAGGUAUUAUUUGAAAAAUAAAAUAAAAUAAGAAUAUCAAUCUUAGCACUUGUGAAGUGAAUCAAUUUGUGUUCAAUGUGGGCAGCAAUUCAUAUGGGGUUCAAAAGAAGCCCACCACCGUAUCUCGCUGUGGUGAACAAAACCCACCCGCUCAUCCUAAGAGGCCGGCGAGGUGUGAGCUUUGCCUCCGGCGGAUCCGGAAUCCUCGACUCCACUGUGAGCUUUCCUCAUCCUCUUUUUCCCUUCUGCAAUGAUGGCCUACCCUAACCCUCCGACCAUCUUCAUCUUCCAGGGCACCACCAUAACCAUGACAAAGCAGAUCCAAGACUUCGCUGCACACGAAUCCAACAUCGCCUCGCGAGUCACCGCGGCAGUAGCCAAGGGACUGCUGUCCAAGUCCGUCCUCCUCAUCAGCUCCGGCGGCAACGACGUCUUCGCCUUCUUCUUCGCCACGGGCGGCAACGCGACCGCCGACCAGACCGAGCAGUUCUACAACGUCAUGAUCACCAACUACACCACACAUCUCAAGGUGAGCUUCCUUCCUCAGCGAGACGAUCGAUGUUGGCUCUGUUGGCUAGCGUGACGAGCUUGCGCUCUUCUUUCAUGGCACAGGCGCUGUACGAUCUGGGAGCGAGGAAGUUCGCGCUCAUCAACGUGCCGCCGGUCGGGUGCUGCCCCAUUUCGCGAGUCAUGCAUCCCUUGGGAGCGUGCCUCGAUGGAUUGAACGCCUUGACCAAGGGCUUCAACGACAGAGUCAGCGUCCUCAUGAAGAAUCUUAGCUCGGAGAUGGAAGGGAUGAAGUACACGAUCGGGAACUCGUACAACGUCGUCAUGAACAUAGUUUCUGACCCCGCAGGAGUCGGUAAGCUCGGAUCGACAUCACAUGUGGCGAAGAGAUGGAUGGGAAGUGGCUAAAUCGUGUACUGAGUGAGUGUUGCUGCUGUUGCUGCAGGUUACAAGGACGUGAGCAGUGCUUGCUGUGGGUCGGGGAAACUGGGGGCAGAGGUCAUGUGCUCGCCCAACACCACCUUCUGCACCAACCGCAACGAGUUCCUGUUCUGGGACAGGAUUCACCCGACGCAAGAGACGUCGGAGAAGGCGGGUUUCGAGUUGUACGGUGGGGCAUCGGAGUACGCCAGUCCUAUCAAUCUGAAGCAGCUGGUGGAGAGUUGAAGAAGGGAAUGGCGUUGAUGUUGUUAGCAGAAGCUAGAUGAUGUAAGAGGGAGGAAUAAGUGCUCUUGCACUUCGUGCUGAGCACGAUGAGAUUGUGGUUUAUGAAUAAGUAGUGAUUCGAAUGGAGGCAUCCUUUCGUUUGCAGAUUGAUCCACUCGCAGGUUGGCAUCAACUCGGUUUCCAAUCUAAUUACAACCUCAUAUAUGACAAGUACAUCAUUAUCGGGACGAAAGAGAGGCAUACGUGUCACUCGAAGGCCCAUUGGUUCUCCCUCCGAACCUCUUCCUCUUCUUCGGGGAUGAAGUCAUUCUUGAUGUUGAAGGUUUUACGGAUCUCCUCGGGCGUCUUCCCCUUGAUCAUGUCGGCCACAGUUUGGCACGUCAAAUCCAGCAGCCCUUUUAUGUUCAGGUAAUUUGCUGCCUGAAUACACCACCAAAUCAUAGAAACAAAGAAGGCCACAUAAUAAGCUUGAUAUGUAUGCCAAAGCAAGCAGUUGCAUAGCAUUAGAACCUGAACACACUGCCCACGUGGGUAACACAAGGUAGAGUAAUAUGAUCAAGGAAACUAUAGAAUCUUCCCUCAAUCUACUCUGAGCAAUUUCCUUGACAUCCAUGCUUUCAAGAGGCACAUAUGGGUAAUCGUAACAACAAAGCAAACUCAACGUGAAGGACAGACGCUUCAACAAGGGGAUCAAUGCCAAACUCACAGCAUGGGUGAUCUGUUUCCAAUUUUCUUAUUAAGCAUGUAAACUAUCGCAUUGGAGAUACAUUAAAAAAUGCUCAAACUCAUUCUCCGUUUAAAAAUUUUUAUACUAAUUCUACUUUUUAUCUCAAAUUAAACCAAAAUAUAUUGAUGAAACUCUAAAAGAUGAUUCAUGGGUUUUUACAGGAAUUAAAUUAAUUUAGGAAAAAUGAGGUGUGGAAGCUUGUCCCUAGACCUAGUGACAAUCUUGUAAUUGACAUUAAAUGAGUCUUUAGAAAUAAGCAAGAUGAAUUUGGUAUCGUGGUUCAAAACAAGGCUAGCUUAAUGGUCAAAGAUCUCAAUCAAGAAGAAUGUAUCGAUUAUGAAAAAACAUUCGCUCCGACGACGAGAUUAGAAGCUAUAAGGAUACUCCUUGCCUAUGUUAGUUAUAAUAAUUUUAAGUUAUUUCAAAUUAGUGUUAAAAGUAUUUUUCUUAAUUGUUUUAUUUUCGAAGAAAUUUAUGUUGAACAACUAUCUGGUUUUAAAAAUAUUUAUUUUCCAAAUCAUGUUUAUAAGUUAUCUAAGACUCUUUCUGGAUCGAAACAAGCCCCAAGGGAUUAGUACGAGAAACUUAGUUCAUUUCUUGUUAAGAAUAAUUUUUUAAAAGACAAGGUUGAUACCACAUUAUUUAUUAAAUAUUUAAAAAAUAAUUUUUUUAUAGUUUAAAUUUAUAUUGAUGAUAUCAUUUUUGGUUUUCCAAAUGAAUCUUUACGUGAUUCUUUUGCCAAUAGUAUGAGCCAAGAAUUCGAUAGGAGUUUAAUAGGUGAAUUAACUUUUUUUCUUAGGAUUACAAAUUAAGUAACUUAGUGAUGAAAUAUUUGUUAGUCAAACUAAGUAUGCUUUAGAUAUAUUAAAAUUAUUUAAUAUGGAUAGUGCUAAGGCUAUUAAUACACCAAUGAGCACUUUUACAAAAUUAUAUAUGGACAUUGAUGGAUAAUGUUUUGAUAAAAAACUUAUAUGGGUAUGAUAGAUAGUUUACUAUACCUCGCAAGACUAGACCGGAUAUUAUAUUUAGUGUUGGAUUUUGUAUUAGAUUUUAAUCUAAUCACAAGUAAACUCACUUAAAAGUUGUUAAAAGGAUUUUUAGAUACUUAAAAAGAACUCCUAAAUUAAGUUAGUUUUAGGUGAAACCUCAUUAACUCAAUUCAGAGCCAAUUGGGCCUGAAUCAUGGCUUAAUUGGGCCUACUAUUUGGCUCAUUCAGUGACCUAGAGCUAGGUCAGAUGGUGGCACCGCUAGGGCUGGCGGUGGAACCGCUUGAGCCUCAGCCUCCCAAGUAGUAUCUAGGCGGUGGUAUCACCCAAACAUAAUCUUCUAGGCUAUGUCAAGCAGUGGUACCACCCAAUGUCAGUCUGACAGGCGGUGGUACCACCUAGUGUUAGACUGACAGGUAGUGAUAUCGUUAGUUGUUAGUCUGGCAGGCGGUAGUACCACCUAGUACUGGCGAUGGUACUACCAAUAUCCUGAAAACCCAGGAUGAGAUCGUUUUAGUUCUAAAUUUGAAUCUAUUUGGAGCUUAUAAAUACCCCACUCUUUUCUGCUUGAGGAUGCAUGAAAAAAAAACAAAAAGCCUUAAAAAAGUGCUAAUUGUCCUCCUCCUCCUCCUUACGUUUUGUGAUCAUUCUAAGAGAGGUGUGAGACUUGUAAACGUUAUCUCAUAAAUAUGUGAAAAGAAGAAAGAGUUGUAAGAGAGUAGUUGGUCUUUGCCCAUGAAAAGAAUACCGUUAGUGAAUGCCGGUGGCCUUGACAGAAGAGAAAUCGGGAGUGGACGUAGGUUACGACGAUUGAACUACCAUAAACUUGGUUUCUAUUUAUAUUUAUCAUUUUCUGCUAUUACUUUCUAAGUUAAUUUCUUAAUUCACUUACUUUAAAUAAAGCACAUUUCCGAUACAAUUUUUCAAUCGAACGAAAAUUUUUCAAACUGUCAAAGUUUUACGAAAGCACUAAUUCAUCCCCCCUACACCAACCCCCCCCCCCCCCCCCCCCCCCCUCUCCCCUAGUGUCAAAACGAUCCUAACAUAAGCUACCCACGCAUAAAGGUAUAAUUCCCAAGAUAGGAAAAUGGAGAUUCGACCAGUUGGAUCUCUAGGGCCUAAAUUUUUUUUGUUUUCAUAGAACUCCAAAAGAAUCCAAGGUGGAAAUAGCUUCAAUCCAACUAAAUGAAGAUGCAAUCCAAUGAUAUGAUUGAUACAAAACAUACCACAAGGUCUCAUCGUGGGAACAAUUCAAGAGAGGGCUUCUCAUUCACUUUAGACCAUUUGAAUAUGAGAAUGUUGAUGGCUAGCUCACUAAAAUUCAUCAGAUUUCUACGGUGCUAGAAUAUCAUAAUAAAUUUGAAUGAUUGUUAAAUCAAGCCAAAGACUAAUCUAAACAACAACUGAUUGUGAAAUUUUUUUGUUUUCACAUAAUUCCAAAAGAAUUUAAGGUGAAAAUAGCUUCAAUCCAACUAAAUGGAGAUGCAAUCUAAUGGUAUGAUUGGUACAAAACAUACCACGAGGUCUCAUCGUGGGAACAAUUCAAGAGAGGGCUUCUCGUUCACUUUAAACCAUUUAAAUAUGAGAAUAUUGAUGGGUAGCUCGCUAAAAUUCAUCAGAUUUCUACAGUGCUAGAAUAUUAGAGCAAAUUUGAAUGAUUGUUAAAUCAAGCCAAAGAUUAAUCUGAACAACAACUGAUGGAAAUAUUUAUUGAAGAACUUAAUCCAGAUAUUUAGUAUGAAGUCAAAGCUCGCCAACCCUAUAUUAUAACAGUCGCAGCCUCAUUUACACAUUUAUAUGAUGAAAAAAUCAGUAGGGAGAAUCGUCGAAACAUAAAUGGCAAUAAAUAGAUGAUCAACAAGCCAUCCACCCUAUCUAUUCCUAAUCGAAACCCUAAUCUCUGAAGACUAACCCGAGAAGAACUUAAGGAAAGAUCAGUGAAGGAUUUAUGCUAGCAUUGUGAUGAAAAUGUGAGUAAGGAGCACUGAUGUAAACAAGGGCAACUUUUGAUGAUUAAACCAAUUGAGGAGGAACCAAAAGCUGACAAUGUAGACUUCGAUCAUGAAGGUGUGGAUUCUAAUAAAUAUGUAGGACCUAUCAUACAUAUAGUGUAUGCACUGACCGGUUAUUCUGACUCACAAACUAUGAAAAUUGAAAAAACUUUGGAACAUCAGUCUAUUAUAGUUUUGAUUGAUAUUGAUAGCACUAAAAAUUUUAUAGAUAGUAAAGUUGUUGAUCGAUUGGCCUACCAUAUUGAAGGUUGUGGCAAAUUUGAAGUAAAGAUCGUCAAUAGAUGGAUUUCAACUUCUGAUAGCAGGUGUUUGAAGAUAAAAUCGAUUAUACAAGGCUAAGAGUUGCUUGUAGAUUAUUUUUGCUACCCUAGGAAGACUUCGAAGUGGUGUUUGGAAUUAAAUGGCUAUCAACCCUAGGUGAUGUUUCUUAGAAUUUUUCUAAACUAAUCAUGAAGUUUUUUUUAUUAAUGGAAGGUCUGUGAUCCUUAAGGAAAGAUGUGAAAGUAAGGUCACAACUGCCACUAGCCAUCGGAUGGAGAUGAUUCUUCAUAAGAUUACUACACUAGAAAGCUACCUCAUUGCUUACACUAUCAAAAAAGUGGAGACCCUAGUUACUUGAUUAAAGAGUUGUGAUGCGCUGCAGUUGACCUGUAACUGAAGUGCUGAGAGUUUCUCUUUAUUGAAGGGGAAGAAAUUAUAAGGAUUUAUUUUAUUUUCUAAGCUUUGAAUAAUAUUUUAUUGAAUUUAUCUAGAGUUGGAUAGGAGUUUAUUUAAUAUUUAUUUAUUUAUUAAGAAUUAUGAUGGACUAUAAAUAUGAAUGUAUCUGUUUCUUUUUAUCUAUCUAUGAAAUAUUAUUUCAGUCUUUUGACAAACCUUAUGAGGUCAAUCCCUUGAAGUGAUCAUCCCUUUUCUUUUCCUUCGUUGAAUAAUGAAAAAAUACCACCUUAGGUGUUAUUUUCUCAUUUGCAAUCAUAGCCUUUUACCCAAAUCAAGAUGUGAGUUUAUUGUAAUGAUAGGUCGACUUUGUAAUAUGUAGAUAAAUAAUUAAUCUUAUAUAGACUUAAUCAUGGAUCGGUUUGAAUUGAUCUAAGUUUUGGAAACUGGAAUAAUCAAUUCCAAAAUUAUCGAUUUGAUGAUUUUUUUUUAAUAUAGAUGGAUUGGUAAACUGUUGGGCUCAAAUGGUUGGGCCCAACGGUUUGCUCCUGGCCUAACGAUAAUGACCAUAUUUAGGAGUAUUUUAAUUAUUUUAUAAAUAAAAAUAUAAAAAGGUUUGAAAAAAAAGAUUUGCCCUUUCCAACAACCACAUAUAGUUUUAAAGGUAUUUAAAAAAAUUAAAACUCUAUAAAUACCCUUCAAAUCUCUUAUAUUUUCUCACACCUUGAUCAUACACUCAUUCAAGUUUGAGCGCUCUUAAGCUCUCUUUUAAACUCUUUUUGUUAUUUUCUUGAUUCCAUGACAAGUGAAAAUCACAACUUCACAACCAAGGAGCCUUUCAAAAAUACAAUCAUAAUAACUCAAGAAAGCAACACUUGACUCAGACAUCAUUAAUAUUAAUGACCAAAAUCAAGUCAGACAUAUUCAAUAUAUACUUCAAGAAAAUUCUAAAUGCUAAUAUCUCAUUCUAUGUAGUAUGCAAUUAGUGUACUUAAGUUUUCAAGUUCAAAAAAAGAGGAGGAUAUAGAACAUUCCAAAAGCAUAUUGAAAAAAAACAUCAAAUGCAAACUAGUACGAAGAGAAGUCAAAUUUAAAUUUUUGGAUAGCUUACUUUUACCAUUUUUUUAAUUUUUCUGUUGAAAAAAAUCAUGAAGCAUUAACUAGAUUAGUCAUAGUUGAACAUUUAUCUUUCAAUUAUGGUAAAAAAAAUAAAUUUAUUUAUUAUUGUUAAGAGGUUUUAAAUCCCACCACAUAAGUUCCUCGUACCACUAUUACUCACAAAUUAUAUAAUCUUUAUAAAAAAAUUUCGAGCUUAGGAUGAUUAUGUUUUCAUUUGUACUUAUAUUUAGAGUGAUCACUAGCAAAUGCAUUCCUACAUGCAAGUCACUUGUUAUUGGAUAGGUAAUGAUUGGAUCAUGUAAAAACAUAUUAUUGCUUUUAGAGUUUUCGAAGAACGACAGAUAACCAAUAAUAUUUAUACAAUGAUAAAAAUAAUUUUCAAAGAAAUAUUAUUUGAUUUUUAAAAUUUUUCAAUUGGUUUUGAUAAUCAGUUGACAAAUAUAGUUUUUAUUCUAGAAUUAUAAGUAGUUUGUCAACCUGCUUUUGAUGGUAUCUUUUUCCAUGUUAAAUGUGUUUAUCAUAUUUUGAAUUCAUGUGUACAAGAUGGACUUAGAUCUUUUGAAAUUUUUCUUUCGCAAUGCAUUCUUGUGGGGUCAUCCAUAAUUAAUGAAAGAAUGAGACAGAUUUUAUAAUUUAAAUGACAAAAGACCCAAAAAAUUUCAUUGAACUAUUCGUACUCGAUGAAAUUCCAUAUAUGAGUUGUCAAAGAAUCUUUUGAAUAUAAAGAACUAUUAUGUAUUUUCAUUGAAAAUAAUAUUAGAUAAGUUUGUUUAUAUCAAUAGCAUUGGAAUGUAUGUGAAUUUUUUUAAAAAAAUUUAAAAGUUUUUAAUAAUGUAGUGUUUAUUAUCCUAUUACAUAUAUUUUUAGUUGUUUGUAUUAAUAUUAUUGAUGUAUUAGAAGAAUAUAAAAAUGAUGAUUAUUUAAUAAUAAUAAUGACUAUAAAAUUAAAAUGGAUAAAUUAUUUUCUUAAAGUUUCAGUUAGUUGCAUGUGUUUUUUAUUCUCGUAUUAGAUUAGAUGGGUUAGGUGAUUAUUUAUCAAUUUAUUAUGAAAGUUUAAGAGUAGAAAUUAAUAUUUGUAAUCAAAUUAGAGAUAUUAAAAAAUUAGUCAAUAACUUAUAUAUGACCAUUAUAGUGCUAAUUAUAGUAAAGAACAAGUUAGUAGGGGUAGUAAGACUUUAAGUGAGAAAAAAUAUUAGUAUAAAUAUUAAAAAAAUCAAGGGGAUCCUAAGCUUGAACUUGACCUUGAUAUGUAUCUAAUUUCUUUUGAGUUUAGUGAAAGUACUUCAGGUAUAGAGUUUUUUAUUUUAGAAUAGUGGGUGCAAUAUUUUCAAUCUUGAUAAAAAUCGCAAGACAAAUACUAGAGACUCUCGUGUCAAUAGUAAUUGUCGAAUAAACUAGAUCAAGCAUGACCUCCGAAUCAAUAGAAGCUCAAGCAUGCCUUCAUAAUUGGAUAAAGGCGAUGAAAUAAAAACAAGAUAUCGUUUACGAAUAAAAUCAUUUCCUAUUCAACAUAUAAAUCAAAGGGAUUCUCAGAGCUAUAAUGUUUGACAAUGAUAAUAAUUAUAAUUAAAUAUUUAUAAUUUUACUUAAUUUAUAAAAAAAUUUGUUAUGUCAUUACAAAUUUACACUAAUUAUGUCAUUAUGGAUGUACAUCAUUUUUUAAAUUUAAAAAUAAAUUUAUGUUUUAUAUUAUGUUUUUUUCAAAUAAUAUUAAAAAAUUAUCCAUUCAAACAAGAAUUGAAACCAAAACUGUUGUUUCGAUUUCAAUUCUAGUUUUUGCUAUACUGAAACGGGUAGCUUCGGAUCUGAAAUCGAUGAUUUUGAAACUAUGAUUAGGUCUAGUCUGAAAGCACCGAGAGAUAUUUUGAAUAUAAAAAUUAUACGUGUGAAAUAAAAUAUUAAGGUGGAGCAAAAAAUCUUCUUAUGUUACUAAUUAGAUUAAAGAAAAUUAAGCUUAAAUAGGUCUAGGUUACCAUUAAUGAGCCUGAGAUCUUAGGUUGUGGUUGUGUUUAAUGUCCAAGUAUAAUACUCAAGACUCAAUUAACAAGAGAGAAUCUACAUGACAUCAAAAUUGGCAUGAUCUUGGUGAAACAGAGAAACAUGUUUGAUCCUGCAGAACUGAUAUUGUAAAUGGUAAUUCACAAUAAGGAUUGCAGAAGUAACUUUAAUCGGUAGGAAAUUGAUGGCAUAUCGAAAUAUUGAUCCACUUUUAGAAGAACGGACUGAAGUGUUAGUACGGUGCUUUAGUUUUUCGAGUAUCUUUCUUUAAUCAAGAUUUGAUGGGAAUGAUUUUUAGUUGUGAGAAAUUAGCAUAAUAAUUUUCGAUGUUGGCUAUUUAAGACACUAAUAAAAGAUUAGACAUAAGACUUGAUUUAGUCAAUUUAUCUACAAACCCCUAAUACUAAAUUUAUCCCUUUUUCUAUGAAUUAAUAAUGAUAUCCUUAUUUAUUAUAGACUAUAAAAUUAUCUUUACGAAUGGAAUUUUUUUUAUUCGAUUCAGACGGAUACAAUCUUUUCUCUCUCUCUCUCUUAUCCCUAUCCUUCGUUGUUUAGACUAUGAUUCAGUCCAUUCACAAUAUUAGAAUUAUGAUAUCUAUGGAAUGUGAUUGAGAACAUUAUCAUUUGCUUAGCUUCUUUUGAUGAAUUUUAAAUUAUACAUAUAUUUCAAAAAAAAAAUUAUCCGACUAAUUGCUACGAUUAAUAGUGUGAAUCUAUUUUAGAGGGAAGAUUAUGCGUGAAAAAGAAUAUGGUAGACUUGAUAUGGACAUGCAACCUACCAUAUCUUUUCAAGUGUGGACGUGAUUAUGAGCUUUGUCACCAUGGCUUUUCAUGUACACAUCGACUCUUGCAUUUGAUUUGCUACCCGCACGAAGAAAGAUCUUAGCAACUUAAGCAAUUUGUCAUAAAAAUAAGAUUAUUUUUAUAAUUAAAAUUCUCUAAUAUCCUAGUUCUUAAAUUUAAAAUUUUAUAUAUUUUUUUUAUAAUUAGACCUCUUUAGUAUCUCGGUCCCUAAACUUAAAAAAUUUAUAUUAAAAUCUCUAUGAUUAUGAAAGUAAAAUUUUUAACAUCAUUUACCCUAACGUCGUCGUCUUUAUCAACGAAAGAUAUAUAUUGAGUCAAAAUUAUCUUUUUGUCAAUCGUUUUUGUGUCAUUCAUGACAUCGAUAAAGUCGACCGCUGCAUCGUUCUCACCUAUCACCAUCACAAUAAUUACCCACAAUGUCAUCGUCUGCUACUAUCAUUAAACUUAUCUUUUUGUCUAUUUAUGCAUGUAUUGUCACACACUAUAUUUUCCAUUAGUAAAGCCCGACAAUGUUAGAAUAAAUGAGGUUAAAUUAUUCACUUCCAUAUCUAUAGAGAUUUCAAUAUAAUUUUUUAAAGUUUAAGUACCUAAAAAUUAUAAUUAUAGAGGUUUUAAUAUAAUAAUCGAUAUACUAAAGAAGUCUAACCGAAUUAAAAAUAAUACCAGUGGUUUAUAACGAUGUUUAAUCUUCCUUUACAUCGAUGGUCACAUCAUAAUUUAGUGUCUGUCACGCACAUGAAAGAGAAGAUAGAUGAGCCGACUAUUAUAAAUUGAAGUAUUUUAAAUCGAUGAAUUGAUGUUGAGCCCAUUCUACAAGACUAUUUCGAUAUUUAUAUCAGUGAAAUUUGAUAUGAGAAUUAGAAAGUGUUUCAAAUUAAGGAUUAGAGAGUCAAAGAUAUUUUCUUCCGCAUUGAUGUCAUCAAUUAAAUUCGAUGUAACAAGUGUCAAAAUGAUCUCCACGCAUGCCGACGUGAGUGACUGACGGUGAAGGAAUUGGCUCCAUGAUUGUGGAGGCGAGUAAAGCCUCAAAUCUGUCAUACAUUUAAACCUCGUCUCCUCGGGAAGAAGGCUGUGUGCUUCUCUACUUAAUUCUUAUCCAUCUCCAAAGCACUUCAACGUGUGGCCCUAAUAAUUAAACCCUCCUCUAUGGCUGCCACCUUCCCUGCAAGAUCACGGGGAAAGUAAUAGAAUAGUUAUUCCAUUAGAGCCGGAUCGUGUCGGUCCAACAUGUAAAACUGAUAUGAUAAUUAUUGGGUCCAUGGAUUCGUCCAUGAGCUGUUCGACAAAAGGAACAAAUCGGAUUGUGCUGUCAACUUAAAUUCACGUGUUAGCUCUGUGUUCAAUGAUUCAGGUUGGACAAAUUAAUCCAAGUAUGUAUGCAAUCCAUGAGAUGGAAUCACAGCCUGGAGAUGUGCUUGGACUGUUCCCAGACUCAUGUUUCAACUGUUCUACACAGUAACAAUCGAAUCCUAUUGAUUGCACCGUCAACUUUUAUCUCCUUCUGGUCCAAACCCACGCUUUUCAGGGUUCACAUUGGCCAAAUCAAAGUUUAGAUAUAUAUAUAUAAUUCAAUGACAUGAUUGAGGGCUGCUAUUCUUUUCUCGUGCUUUGGUUUCCUGUGCUGAUGGGUCAAACUUGAUCGUCCAUCUAACGCGGACUAAAAAGACAAGCUCCUUUUUUGUCUUGAGCAUUGAUAUCUAUCGCAUGCUCGAAGAACACUUGAUGAAACUGAAGACAGCGGCUUUGAAGGAUUGUUGAUCUCCAAGUAAGGGUGUUAAGAAAAUUUAUAGAUAUACCGUACAUUAUGUAGAGUCUUUUGUGAGUGAGAUAAUAUAUUUCUGUGUGAAAGAGUUGUUCCAGCAUCCUCUUCUUCUUAUCAUAUGAGAAGAUAAUUCUCAGAAGAACAUCAGCAGCAUUAUUCUCCGUUUUGAUUUGAUAGUAUUUAGAUGAGUUGGAGAGAGCAGAUUAAUUUGAUAGUAUUUAGAUAAGAUGAUUUGAUAGUAUUUAGAUGAUUUGAUAGUAUUUAGAUGAUUUGAUAUCAUGCUAACCUAAUUUGUUUAAGCACCAUAGUGUUCUUUGAUUUAUCUUAUCUUCCAUCGAGACUAAAAUCCUUUUAUCUUUCGACUUAUGUUGACUCGGAUAGAAUCAACUUAUUAAAUAUUUGAAUAAAUAUUAAAUUAUUUUGAUAAAAGAGAUGAAUUCUUCGAAGUUCAACCAAAUUCACUAGUGUCGAUUCUUCUCCCACACUUUUUGUGUAAGUAUAAAAAUAUAUAAUUAUGCUAUUAUUAUACAAAAAGUUUUGAUAUCAGAAACUGAAAUUAAAUAAUAAUAUAUCAUAUUUAUAAUAUAUACAUUUUGAUACUAUCAAGAAUGUUUUUAUCUAAUCUAUAGGUACAUUGACAGAUUCAAAAAUCAAUUUUCAAAAAGUUGAUACUACUACAAGUGAUAGAUUAGGGAAUAAGAAAAUUAUAAAUAUCUAUAAUCUCAAUGAUUGAUUGAGUUUUCGUAAGAGUUCUUAUCAUUUUAUAGACAAAAAUAAAAAAAUCUGGUAUGAAUAAUUAGAAGAGUCCUUUGUGAUCUUCCAAUCUUAUCAUAAUUAUAUUUUUCUUUUUAUUGAUAGAUAAUAAUCAUCAAACUCUAAUUAAAUUUAUAAAACAUCUUAUAUAAUUAAACAAUACCAUAUAAUUUAAUAAUGGUAGGAUGAAUUUCUUCUCCAUAUCUAACAAUACAUUAUUUUAAUGUUGAUGUUCAUGUUUUUUUUUAUCUUUCGACUGUUCCACAAGGAAACAAAUUCUAAUCAUUCUAUUCAAGCCACGCGUUUCACGUUCACCGUAGACAAAUCUAAUCGUAUUAAUAUAAUCCAUGAAAUGAAUGGUUCAGAGUCUAACGUGGCUGCUGCUCUUCCUUCCUGUGCUCUCUAUAAACAGCUCCAACUUCUGAGCUAAAUGGCACUCGACACCAACUCUCCAUUCUCCACCCUCGGCGUAGUAGAGAAGAGCAGAGAUUCGAGAUGAAGCUCGCCGUUCCUCUUCUCCUCCUUGCUGUCAUCUCUGCUGCCUUGUCCGCGGUCUCGGCCGCGCUGCCGAAGGUCCCCGCCGUCUACGUCUUCGGCGACUCCACCGCCGACGUCGGCAACAACAACUACCUGCCGGGGAAGGAUGCCAAGGCGGACUUCCCCCACUACGGCGUCGACUUCCCGCACCAGACUCCCACCGGACGGUUCAGCAAUGGCUACAACACCAUUGAUUUCUUAGGUGCGUGGUUGACUGGUGUCAUGAUUUGAUUUUUGGGGCGAUAAUAUUUCCUUUUUCUUAAAAAAAAAUAAGAAGAAGUAAGAGAUUCAUCAUUUUUUUUCACAUCUAUAAUUCUACCAAUAUUUAUUAAUUAUGCAUUAAAUCAUUAUCAAUGAUUUAAGGGUGACACUGUAUAAUAAUAAAGUUAUUACUUUGCAACAUGAAAUGUUAGUCACCAAAACAACCUCUCCAAAUGCAAAGAAGCAUAUAAUUAUUUUUUAUAUUUAAUUUGGGGCAGCUUUUUUUAAAAAAAUUCAUAUUUUGGGUUUUUUUUAUUGAGGUAUUUUUUAAUAAUAUUUAUGAUGUUUUAUUGAGGUAUUAAAAUAUUAUAAAGAUUGUUAAAAAAAUUAUAAAUAACAUCAUAUUAUGCCUUUUUUAUUGUCGUUGCUCGUAGUUCAUUACGAUAUUAUAUUUUUUAGCUUAUAGUUUAUUUGAUUGAGGUUAAGAUUCUAUUUUGUUCAUUUAUAAUGUUUUUAAGUAGGCCGUGUUUUUAUUAUGGUGAUUAAAACAUAAUAAUAACUUAAUUUUUUAUUUGAAUUUAGAUGAUAUUAUUAUUAAACUAUUAUACUUAUUUGAAUCAUAAUAUGAUAUAUCUAACAAUUUUUAAUAUAUUUUGAUUAUAUUUAGCUUAUUUUCAAGUAGUUUUUAUAGUUCUUUUAUUGUGGUGUUCAGAAACACUAUCAUAGAUUAAAAAAAAUAGUUUAGAUAAUUUUUAUAUUAGAGGUAUUAUUUGAAAAAAAAAUAAAAUAAGAAUAUCGAUUGAAAAAUAACUCAAAAUAUGAAUAUUUUCUGAAAAAUCGUUCUUUAAUUUACAAUCCAAACUGUUUUUAUAUACUAAUUCAAUAAAGCAGCAACAGAACAUGACUGAUGAAUGAAUGAAUCACGUGAAUCACAUGGUGAUCGGAGCUCCAAUAACUCCAAAAUGCAAACGACCCUAUCCGAGUGAACAGUAAUUCCAAUAAAUCUAUUAUAAUUUGGUGCACAACAAUUCGUAGGACUUGAAUUAACACCAUCAUGUGAUCUAUUAGAAUUUGGGGUUUUUAUCUUAGCACUUGUGAAGGAAGUGAAUCAAUUUGUGUUCAAUGUGGGCAGCAAUUCAUAUGGGGUUCAAAAGAAGCCCACCACCGUAUGUCGCUGUGGUGAACAAACCCCACCCGCUCAUCCUAAGAGGCCGGCGAGGUGUGAGCUUUGCCUCCGGCGGAUCCGGAAUCCUCGACUCCACUGUGAGCUUUCCUCCGCCUCUCAUCAACUCAUCCUUUUCCCUUCUGCAAUGAUGGCCUACCCUAACCCUCCGACCAUCUUCAUCUUCCAGGGCACCACCAUAACUAUGACAAAGCAGAUCCAAGACUUCGCUGCACACGAAUCCAACAUCGCCUCGCGAGUCACCUCGGCAGUAGCCAAGGGACUGCUGUCCAAGUCCGUCUUCCUCAUCAGCUCCGGCGGCAACGACGUCUUCGCCUUCUUCUUCGCCACGGGCGGCAACGCGACCGCCGACCAGACCGAGCAGUUCUACAACGUCAUGAUCACCAACUACACCACACAUCUCAAGGUGAGCUUCCUUCCUCAGCGAGACGAUCGAUGUUGGCUCUGUUGGCUACCGUGACGAGCUUGCGCUCUUCUUUCAUGGCACAGGCGCUGUACGAUCUGGGAGCGAGGAAGUUCGCGCUCAUCAACGUGCCGCCGGUCGGGUGCUGCCCCAUUUCGCGAGUCAGGCAUCCCUUGGGAGCGUGCCUCGAUGGAUUGAACACCUUGACCAAGGGCUUCAACGACAGAGUCAGCGUCCUCGUGAAGAAUCUUAGCUCGGAGAUGGAAGGGAUGAAGUACACGAUCGGGAACUCGUACAACGUCGUCAUGAGCAUAGUUUCUGACCCCGCAGGAGUCGGUAAGCUCGGAUCGACAUCACAUGUGGCGAAGAGAUGGAUGGGAAGUGGCUAAAUCGUGUACUGAGUGAGUGUUGCUGCUGUUGCUGCAGGUUACAAGGACGUGAGCAGUGCUUGCUGUGGGUUGGGGAAACUGGGGGCAGAGGUCAUGUGCUCGCCCAACACCACCUUCUGCACCAACCGCAACGAGUUCCUGUUCUGGGAUAGGAUUCACCCGACACAUGCGACGUCGGAGAAGGCGGGUUUCGCGUUGUACGGUGGGGCAUCGGAGUACGCCAGUCCUAUCAAUCUGAAGCAGCUGGUGGAGAGUUGAAGAAGGGAAUGGCGUUGGUGUUGUUAGCAGAAGCUAGAUGAUGUAAGAGGGUGGAAUAAAUGCUUGCACUUCGUGCUGAGCACGAUGAGGUUGUGGUUUAUGAAUAAGUAGUGAUUCGCAUGGAGGCAUCCUUUCGGUUGCAGAUUGAUCCACUCGCAGGUUGGCAUCAACUCGGUUUCCAAUCUAAUUACAACCUCAUAUAUGACAAGUACAUCAUUAUUGGGACGAAAGAGAGGCAUACGUGUCACUCGAAGGCCCAUUGGUUCUCCCUCCGAACCUCUUCCUCUUCUUCGGGGGUGAAGUCAUUCUUGAUGUUGAAGGUUUUACGGAUCUCCUCCGGCGUCUUCCCCUUGAUCAUGUCGGCCACAGUUUGGCACGUCAAAUCCAGCAGCCCUUUUAUGUUAAGGUAAUUUGCAGCCUGAAUACACCACCAAAUCAUAGAAACAAAAAAGGAAACAUAAUAAGCUUGAUAUGUAUGCCAAAGCAAGCAGUUGCAUAGCAUUGGAACCUGAACACUGUCUGUUCAGGUAGGUAACACAAGGUAGAGCAAUAUGAUCAAGGAAAAUAGAUAAUCUUCCCUCAAUCUAUUCUGAGCAAUACCAAAAUUAUAUAGCAUGGGGGAUCUGUUUCCAAUUAAUCUUAAGCAAGUAGACCGUCUGAGGUUUCAAGCUUCAAUCCCAUGCACAACUCAAUAUCCAGCACACAAUUUCCUAUGGUCAGAGAACUUGUUCUAUGUUUCUACUCAGAAAAGAGUUAGUUUUAGCCCCAAACAAAGGACAUCUGUCCACUGGAUGGUUUAGUCCGUCCGAGAGAAACUGGGAAUGGAACAAGGCUGGAGAUCACCAAGAGGCUACCAGUUGAACCAAAGCGGAGAGAGAGGCAGGACAACAAACAAACAUUUAAGAUAAAAAACUGGCCAGAACCAAAAUUAAUAACGAGCAGAUCUAUGUUUGGAUCAUGGAGUUCCCUUGCUGACUGGGUUUUAGGUUAGGAUAAGAGGAAGGGCAAAUACCAAUGGAAUUUGAUUUGAUUAAUGAAAUUGGAAGAGAAUUGUCCUAUCAGAGCUUAAUUGCAGGAUAACACCAUGUAGCCAAUCCAAAUAGGAAGGACAUUUUGGUUACUUCUACUUGGUGGUGGUGGUGUUAUUCUAUAAAGCAUAACCAAUCCUGUUGCACACUUUUUCUUUGAGAUGAGCAAAACUCACACCAUCAAUUAUAAAACCAGAAGAUGUGCAAAUAUGACGAUCAUCCUUCCAAGAUUAUAUGAUUAAUAUGUUGUUCUCAUAAACUAUCUUAUUAAUUCAACAGACAAGAAUGAAAUGGCCUUAAACAAAAAAUGUCACUAGAAUAAUCAGCUGAUAUUCCAUGUUUUGGCAGCAUAUCCAAUCAGUUUCUGAUAUAGCAUAAAUGAAUAUAAGGUUAAGUCAUGCUACAUUUUGCAGUUAAUGGGUCAUAAUAUUAAGCCUGUUUGGCUACUAUGUCUUCUAUUCAAAUUAAUACUUGUUUUUCUAUUUAAGUAGGAUUUUAACAAUUCUUAGGUCCUAGGGUUGCGUAACCUAGUCAAAAGCCUAUGUCUGAGUUAACAGUCCUAGUUCAUGUAUGACAUGUUUAUUAGCAACCCCAUUUGAAGUCAAAGACCAUCACAGACAUAUAGAAACGAAGUUAGAGGAAAGUAGGUGCUUCAUUGUUGGGGAAAAAAAAAGGUCAAAUGGCAUAUGACAUUGAAAGAGUCGAAGUAAGUCUUUUUAUAGACCAUUUUAGCCUAACUCUUAGUUACAAAUAACUAUUGUUAAUGUCUUACCACAAUUACCUACUAUUUCCUGCAUAGCUAUGAAUUGUUUGAAUCACUCUUUUAAUGCUUCAAUAGUUUUAGUUUUACUAUGUCAAUCUACGUCUGGGUUACCGUGCCAACUUCCUGAGUUUUGUUUUAGUGAAUAUCAGGACUCGUAACACAAAGCUAAUUGAUGGUUAGGUUCUAUGUUUUGCUUUUAGGAGGCUGAGUAGAUAACACAUGUGACCAGUACCAUUUGUAUUAUUUGUUUCUACAAUUGAGCCUAGGAACACCACUCCAAGCAAUUAUUAUAUAGAGGAAGGUAUGCGGACUAUGAGAGGGGAUGGUCCAGAUGAUUUAAAAAACAGAAGAAAUACCUGCAAUAACAAAGAAUGUCUUUAACCCAAAACAAUUAAGAAUCACCCUAUGAUUUAAUUAUUCUCACUUCAGCAGUUUCUUGUUUAUAAAAGACACCCAAAUAUCAAUUAAAAGCCACCUCUCAACUUCUUAUAAAAUGAAGACAUAAGAUUACAUUAAUCUAAGAAUGUAUUUUACCAGAAACCCUUAUUAUUUUGAAAAAUAAAUACAAGACCGGAGACCUCUAAAAUGCCCAAUACUGUUUAACCAUAGUCUAAUAAUUCACUAAUUACAGAUAUGACCAAGAAAUAAUAAAAUGCACUCUAAAGACUAAUGAGUUGAAGCUUAACCUUAAAAAAAGCCUCCUAUUGGUUGGUGCUAGUAAAAUUACUUGACUCAAUUUAACUGUUCUUCACAUCCUAAAGUGCUUAAAUUUUCCACUCAAGUUGUAGAUGCCAGUUGCCAAUAACAGCCAAUCAUCAACUCGCAUGUAACUGCUGAUCUACCGUCAGCCAUCAUCAAUAAGUGGUUGGCAAUCAAUAUCAGUGGUCCAACACUUGCAGAAAUUUGCCACUGGCCAAUGAUCAUCAAAUAAUAAUCUACAAAUGUCAGCAAUCAUCAACUGACAUACCAUCAAUGGAUAGAGAUUAACGGUGACCGUCUUCCAAAAACUAGAAAGCAAUCUACAAUAUCACAUUAUAUCAGUGAUUGGCAGUCACCAACUGAUGAUACAUAAGACGAUCUCCAAUUAUCAACCAACUGCCUCACUAGCAAUCAUAGAGUGGUUAUAGUAUCCAUCAAUCUAUUUAUUGAUUAACAACCAACAACCAGAGAGCAAUCUUAGAUUUUACAUCAGUAAUUACCAAUCACCAACUGAUGAUCUAUAAUAUGUUAACCAAUCAUCAACCAGAAACCUUAGUGAUCAUAGUUUACCAACCACCAGUCUCGCUGUAUCCCUUUGAAACAGAAGGUCAAUGGACUACAGAUGAUCAUCUACCAAUCAGCAACCAACCAACAGUAUAAUGGUGGACUAUGCACAUUGGUGGUCUAGUUAAAGCUGACUGAGACCGAUGAUAUGAUAUAUUGAAAUAGGUAAUCCACUGACAAGCUAAAACAGUGGCCUGUCAACCAACAAUAUAUUGGUUUUAUCAACUAACAGGAUACUGAUAUUCAGCUAUCAUGAUAAAUGGCAUGUCAACCUUUCGGUGACCUACCAGUGACAGCCAGGCCAAUUGAUGACAAACAAUUGAUGAUGAAGCUGCACUCAAUGACCAAUACACUGGAAAAUGCCUGCCAACUAGCAAUAGGUCAACCAUCCCAAGGUCGAUUCCUGCCAACAAUCCAGUGACAGCCAAUCAUCUAUAAGCUUCAAUAUUGAUUGCUGAAGCACAGUAAGCAUACAUCAAAGAGAUAAACAGCAUGUCUAGAAGGAACAAAAAAACCUUCCAAAUUGAUGAUCAUUAGGUUUUUCACUAAAACCUCACAAGUAUGUCAUGUUGUAAUCACAAGCGUUCAUGCCCAAAAAUUCUAAACUUGGUCCAAUUUCCAAGACCCUAUAAAUAACCUAGGUUUAUCAGGCAUUUGCUUCAGAAGAUUAACUCAGUUGAUUCAAAUGCCUUACAAGCAAACCUAAAACAAUGGAAACCACAGAUUGUGCAAUAUCUUACACAACCAAACAAAAGUCAUGCUAAUGUUUACUCAGCAAUAUCUUAUCACCUUAUAAAAAGCAAAGAUUCCCAAUAUAAACAUAGGCAAAAGUCGAAGCAACUUGACACAAGAAUAAACUAUGAAUAAAAAACAGUGCUCCUGUGAUUGGUUAUGCAUGGAUUCUAGGAUGGUUCUCCAUCCCAAGUAGACUAAACAUUACAAAGAUUUGACAAAAGAAAAUGCAAGCUAUUCUGCGGUGUGUCUCCUUCAUGUAGGUGUGAGUUCCAAUAUUGGCUUUAUACUCCUCAUAAACUAAGAUUUAUCUAGGGCAUCUCUGUAGAAAAAGAAAUAUACAAUUUUGCAAAUGUCUCACUGGAGAUUAAAAAAAGGUUACUAGAAUGGCGAAAAAAAGGAAACAUGAGGCCAAAAAAAACAACUAGGAAGCUACUAAGCAGGCUCAUCAUCACCAAACGCCAAUGAAAACACACCAAAGAUGACGAUACCGUAUUGUUAUAUAGUGAAUAUGUAUGAGCUUGUUAAUUACCUUAUUUUGCAAACAUCCAUCAGAUAUCUUACAAAGCUAUACCUAGCAAAAUUAUCCUCUAUCUAUUCAUCAUCAACAAAUACAUCACAUUUACCACCUAAACGUGUAAAUGCAGAACCAAACUAGAUUUAUCACCAAAAAGAUAACAAUAUAAGACGAUGAGAGAAGAGGAAGCAUUCAGAUAUCUCACCAGGAUGAGAUCGAAGAGGGUGGCCUGAUCGACCUUGACGAACUCGGCGUCCCAGGACUUGAUCACGUCGUCGGUGGGCUUGGAGCCAUCAUCGGAGGACUUGGAGGCAGCGGCGGCGGAUGCCUCGACAUGCUUCCUGCAAUACUCGAUAACCUUAGCGAGGAUCGCGGAGGUGACGUUAGGGAGCGGGAUGCCGUUUUCGGCGCAGUCGUCCUCGAUCAUGUGCUUGAUAGUCUGCGACUCCAUGGCCACCGCCUCGUCGACCUCGAACACCUCGCCGUCGGAGCUCUUGAGCAUGAUCGUCUUCGCCAUGGCCACCACAGCCGGGAUCGAACUGAGAGUGGAAAGGGCUCGGGAGGGAACCGAGAUAAGAGGAAGCCCUAGAAGUCAAGAUCAAGACCUACCCCUGCCCGAUCUGGCCGACGAUUCCGCAAUGAUGGGAAACAAUCUUACUGGAAAACGCGUUUCACAACUUGGCUAAACCAACAAUAUUAUUUUUUUUAAAGAAAAAAUAAAAUGACAAAAACGGAAUUCAAAAUUUUUAUCAGUCAAAUGAUAUUUUUUUAUAAAAAAAAAAUUUUAUCGUUAAAAAUACUUUAAUAUUUGCCUUUUUAAUUAUCAAUGUGUUUCUUAAAUUUUAAAUCUGAAUUUUAUUCUUUUACUCUAAUAGAAGAUUUUUUUGAAAAAAAUAAAUGAACCCAAUAAAUAGAUGAUACACUCUUUGAAAUAAACUAGAUAAUUAUAUACAUUAUUAUUCUCUUUAUAAAUUUAUAAUACUUAAUCGAUUAUAGUAGUUAGUAUAAGGUAGUAUACCUUAUCUCUUCUAAGACCCCUCUUUCUCGUCGGGCUCUCCACAUCCUUAUAUCAUUUUUAUCUUUGAUUGUAUCAAUAUAUUCUUAUCGAUUUUUUAUCUUUAAUCGUAUCAAUAUAUUCUCAUCGAAAUAUAUUUUAAACUUAGGUACCUAUCUUAUUGUCGAGUGUUUUAUAAUAUUUAAUAUUAUGUUAGUGCUAAGUCUAUCCUUUCAUCAUUGUUUAAAAAAGAUUCUAAAUAAUUGAAUAAUUACAGUUUGUUACUAUUGUAAAAAAAUAAGUGAUAUUUACUGCAUUUAAGUGAGACACAACCUACAGCAGUUAACUCCUUCAAAUUGAACAGCUCAUAUAGCUCUCAUGUCGAGUGAUUACUAUCACUUUUUAGCUUGGAAUCACAGUGUAAAAUCACAUCAAUGUCAGUAAACUUUUGUACAAUGCAUUACAAACUGUGGCACAAGUAACAGUAAGCUUGGGGGUGCAUGUACCAGUUCUUAAAAGCAUUAAAGGAACCAAGGACAUCAGAUUACUCCUUCCACCCAGAGAUUCUGAUUCCUUGGUCAAGUAGUCUUCUCUUUUAUGCCAUCCAUUCUGCUGCCAAAGUUUAGUGUGGAGGCAUCCAAAGGAGUAAAAUGGUAAAGAAUUAGUCACAUCAGCUAGAUAAUAAUACCCUCUUGAGCAUCCCUCCUCAGAUUAAUUCAGUCCUUGCACUCAUUCUUAUGUUCAGUAUGGCAUUAGCUGAGAAGAAAAGAUGGGGCCAAUCCAUUUAAAGUUGGAAAUAGUGAUUUGAGAUUCCCUUUCUUGCAAGUUAGUAACCAUUCAUGAUGUAUUAGAAUAGAGUUAUAACUUGUUGGUGAUUCAUCACUUGGUACUGAUCUUGCAGCAUGAGGCAAAGAUUGGCCCUUUAACUUCCUUAUUUGAUUGGUUGACAAUUCUACAACUUGGAAUGAUCAUCUAAAUAUGAAUAAUAGCUUUUGAUCUCUAUGAGAAAUAUCAUUGAUAUGACAAUUAUUCACUAACAAUCAAAGUUUAACAUAUGGAGCUUAAACAAUGAUGUGUCAAUUAAGUAUGUCAUAUCAACUAUAAUAUCAAUAUAUAUAUAUACAUAUUUCAUCACAUAAGAAUAAAUAAUGAUAUGAGAGCGUAGAAGAACUCAUGAUGAAUAAAUACCCUUGGCUUAAGUUUUAUAAGACUUGUCUAAAUGUGGAUUUAAAUACCAAAUCCUUUUUCAUAUAUGGAAGAACUCCCCUUCAGUCAAUUCACAAAUCCGAGUGGGUAUUUCACACUUGAAUUCUUUUUCGAAGACGGAAGAACAUGCCUUGAACCAAUCCAUCAAGUGACUCGAUCUUCCUAAUUGGACCUCCAUCAUACUUCAUUUAAGUACGGAAAUGUGAUAGGGUAUGAACAAGAAGAUCUGUUUAGGUCAUCUUUGUCACGUCAAAUUGACUAACACUAUAUGUAUGAUGUGCUCAUAAAUGCUUUGGGGCUCGUUCAUUUACCUUUCUUUAGCUUAGCUCGAUUCUUUACCAAUCCCUUUUGGCGAAGGGCUCCUUUGGAUUUCUUGAGCAUAGGCUUUAGUUGCUCUUACCUCUUAAGUGACUACUUCUCGUUCCCAAUACAAUUUAGUACUACACGCAUGGUUCUUUUGGCACGUAGCAUUCAGAAGUAUCUUCCUUCGAUCUGCACCUUUAAUUUGUAGGAAUACUUCCACCUCCAUACUGAAUAUGUUCAGGGAGGAUACCAACUUUCUCUUUAGCAUGUUCGACAAGACCUUUGAGAGCUUUAUUCUUUUGACUCCUUUUGAGGUGCCUUCUUCAGCUGUAUCAUGCCACUGCAUCCACUCCAACAGCUCACGGUAGCCAAACAUGAUGGAUUAUUAAUAUAUAGGAUGGUCUUAUUAAUAACUUUAAUGAUGUGAUAUAAAUCAUCAUGGUCGAUAAUAGUGUGCCUAACGUUAAAUACUUACCGAGCAGGUCCAUUUGGUGACCCCUCGGCUGCCCUGUGGGAUAUCUAUGAUGUGACUCGAAAAGAUUUUGGUUACUUCCAUGUAUCUACACACACAAUGCAGCCAUGAAAUGCUAGAUUCUGGUCCAGAAUACUCGUAUUGAGACACGUCUUUCUUUCGAAAUAUAACAUAUUUUAGCAUUCGUCCCAUCUGACAAUCGGCUGUCAUAGUAUACUUGACGUGGUAUCCCUAAACUAACGUAUCGCAUCGAGCCAACUUAACAUCAUGAGCCUGAGCAUGUCGAUCGCCUGAAGCCAUCUCUCUACACCCACUCUAUCCCUCUGCAACUAUGCAUCGCGCCACACAGUAGGUGGACAGUAACAUCGAACGAGACUAAAUCGAGCAGAUUAGAUGGCUCUUACACCCAACGCAAAGGCUAACCACCUACGAUAUUAGCAGGUAUUAAACACUUGAAUACGAUGACGAUCGAGGAUCAUUAAUGUUGCUAUAUAUGAUCGUACGUAGAAAUAGAUAUUAAAGCUAUCCUUAGGAAUAGUGCUGGGGUUGGUCCUCAUACAUAUACUCUAACUCUCUUAUCUUUAACUCUCGUUAACUUAAGUACUGGAGGGAUCAAAUCAAAAAUCUUUUAUUCUGUAUGCAGAUAGUCAAGACCUAAAAAAGUAAUCUUCAGCUUUAUUGAUACGUAGGAGAAUGAGACCUAAGACCUACGCCCCUUCAACCAUAUUGAUAAUCUUGUGCAUUCGGGAUGGAUCAGUGUUGAUACCUCGGCGACAGCAUAAAGGUGCAAAACACUACGUAUCUUAAUCCAAGAGGGAGGCUGAAGAAGCUGUCUCAAAAAUCAGGUUCAGCGUAUUCCACUCACCCAUCCAAUCUGAGCUGCUGCACCAUAGGAAGUACCUAAUCUGUCACCUCAAACAAGUGAGGCCCAUGCAUACUGUGCAUGGAGAAUCCUAAACGCCAUCCAAGCACAAAGAGGUCAUGGCAGAUGAAAGAAAUGGUGGUCUGCUCGAAUCAGGAUUGGCUACUUCAAUGACAGGGAGAGGACAGCAAGAUUCUUUAUAUAUAUACAAGCUGACUGUGAAUUAACGGAACCAGUCACAAUGAUUCACCUAAAAGCAAUUAUCUGCUUUAUGGAGGGUUUUUCAAGCCAUCAUAAUGCUUGUUGGCUGGCACUAUCUUUACCAACUUGAUGUCUUGGUUUCAUGUGGCCAUGCUAUGACAAUUGUAUUGUCAUAUUUGUCUCGUCUCACAGUCUGUCUGUGGACCUGGAAUCAAGGUAAAGAUUGGCAGCACAUGAAUGAAUGCCUGUGUGCUGACAAGUGAUCUUCAUGAGUGCCGAGUAGGGACUACCAAUAAUACAUAUGUGGCUAUAAUGAGAAAAAUGCAACCUCGUUUCUCGGGGUCAAUCAUCCUUUACUUCCCAGACUUGCCACCGAUAAGAGAGGAAGAACAGUGUAAUAAGUUCACGCGCUUAGCACACCUGUCAUGCACUAUCGACCUCUCCUCUUUUUCCUUGCACCUUCUUAUGAUAUCUAUUUCUAGUAAAAGAGAAAAGAAGUGGAGUGAAUACGGUGAUGUCGAGAGAAAUAAAAUGAGACUGCUUCUUUUAAGUAGCAUCAAAUUUACAAGAGUUCUUGUUGCUCUCCAAAGAGCAGACAGAUAGAUAUACAAGCAUAAGCAAUGUAUACAAUAUAAAGAGAUACCCUAAGUAUAUAUACAUACAUACAUACAUACAUACAUACAUACAUACAUACAUACAUACAUACAUACAUACAUACAUACAUACAUACAUAUAUAUAUAUGUAUGUAUAGAGAGAGAGAGAGAGAGAGGCGUUCUACGUAUAUGUACUACUAUCACAGUAGCUAUAUCUGUACAUAGAAGUGUAUAUCGGCUGUAAAGAGAACUCCCUGUUCUUCUCUCCCUUAAAAUGGAGCUGUUAGGGUUCUUUGGAGGGUGUGCUUUGCAGGCACGAAGAGGUGAUCCUGCGCGGCUUUCUUUAGCUGCGCAAAGAACGACGACUUAAGCCUUUUGAUCUCAUCAAAGGGGAGAAGAAGGGACUGUUAAAGUGCUACUGAACUCGGAAUUACCUCCUCAAACUGUCGCUUCAGCGUCCUGUUCUCGUUCACUAAGUGAUCCACCUCCUGCUCCAACUCAGUUGUGUAAGCCUUUCCCAUGAAGCACAGUGAAGAGAGUGAGAACUCAUAAUCACUGGAGGGAAAAAGUUAGAGAGAGAGAGAGAGAGAGAGAGAGAGGAGCCGAUGCCUGUUUCCUGGCUCUCGACCGAGCUGCCGACUCACGGUUCUUGAUCAUCCGCUUCUUCCUUCGGUCGACGUCGCUCCGAUCGCCGGAUUCUUCGUUCAACUCAUGCUCCAUCUGGUGCUUCUUGCUGCAGCAAGCUACGACGCCGUCACCGACGCCAUCCGAGAAGAAACUGGAGGCGGAGGAGGAGGAGAGACCAUUGCUGCCACCGCCGAGGUUGGAGUUGAGACCAAGAGCGGUAGAAGGAGGAGGACUGCGGUCACUGGUCGCCUUGAAGUGCUCGGUAAGGAAGUCUUGGAGAAUGAUGCUUUUAAAGGAGGUGGUGGUCGACGAGCUGACACCGCACAGGCGCUCGAGGUGGUUUGGUGGAAGGGAAGGAAUGGAAGGCAUGUCUUGCUGCAGAGAACUCAAGCUUAUGUCCUUCCACACCUCCUCCAUGAUCCUGGUGUUCUUGGAGAGCAUGGAGGAGUAGGGAGUCAUGGAGGAGGAGAGGAAGAGGAGAUGAUGACCUCCCCUAGCCAGAAUAUGGGAUCUGAAUGACUGAGUCGUUUUGUGCUUUAAAGGGAACUGUGGAGGAGGGAAUGGAAUUCUUUUUAGUGCUUAAAAGUCAUGUAUACUAACUAUGCCAAAUCGGAAUCCAUAUCUAAUAUUUAGAUUUUGUGUCACAUAGAUCAGUUCUUUGACUUCCCCAGAUAGAUUCAACUUUGUGGGUAGGCCAACUUAUCUUCCUAUUGGCCAAGACAGCUGGCGGAGCUAUGGAGUCUGGUGGAGACGGAAAGCAUGGCAGCCAUGGUUCUGCUCUCAGUCUCAAAAUUGAUGAUUUGUGUGUCAGCCUUCACUUCGGUUGCCUGUUUCAUCACUGCACAUACUUUCAUUUUGUAUCUUAAUCAACUGCAUCCAUGAGCGCAGCUAUCGAAUAUCAACCCGGCUAAGAUUUUGGUUACUGGAUUAUUGGUUGUCAGCUGGAGUGAGAUCCAUCAUGUAGUAGCUCACCGGGUGGUGCGUGCUGCUGUCCUUCACCUUUCUUUCAGUAGCGUCUUCGACAAAGCAUUUGCCCGCAGAGACACUCCGACACCCAACCGAAAGAUGGUGUCAGCUGCUGCUGCUGCUACUGCUACGAAGGACGUAUAAAGAUGGAGAUAGAGAGAUAGAUGGAGAGAGAGAAAGGAAGGAAGAAAGAAAUGACAGUCGUACGCUAUUAUCCGCUGUGGAUGCACAUUCUCCCGUCCCAAAAGCUCGCAUGACGGUGGAAAGAGAUGGACGCCAAAUUGCGGGGGCCACAAAAGGCAAAGGCAAAAAGCACGAUUCAUGUCACGCUCGCCCUUAAUCUCACACCACACGACGACGCUCCACGUCUUGUCGUCGUGAACUCCGUCGCUACCUUUGUCGGGACGUCGGCGAGGACUCUUCCGAACAACAAAUCAUGUUUGUCGGGUCACAAACCCGAUAUGAAUCCGAAUCCAUUUUUAAAAUUAUAUUAAAAUAGAAAAAAUUACCUGCCCACUUGAGUCAUAAUCCUUUCUUCUUUUAACCUAUAUCUAAGAAAAAUGGAUAGCAAUCGUUAUGAAAAGGGGGAAGCAACGAUAGUAGUUUUGGACAGAAAAACAAGAGAAGAAAAAUAUAAAAAAUAUAAGAACAACAUAGAAAUUGUUCUCAAUCAUUUAAACAGUAUUCUCAUCUUAAGUUAAAUCAGAAGUAGAUUCUUGCUAUGAUCACUUUGAGAAAUUUUAGAUAUUGUGCACAAUGACGUAAUUCUUUUAUUCCAGUUAUUCUCUUGUAAUUGUUGGUUGAGUUUUGAGGAUUCGUUAAUUAUGACAUAAAAAACAGAAAGAACAUAAAAUGCAUUCAAGUAAUUCGAUUAAGAGGAACAUAGUGCAUUAAUAUUAAUAUUCAAGUUCCAAUAUUCACAUGGCUCGAUUGAAUCAUGGUCCUGAAAAGAUCAAGUUCCCAUAUGAAUUGGAGUUCCCAAUUCUUGGGCAAAUCUUAAUCUUCCACAUGGUUGAACAUUUGCUUUCUCCACCCAAUCUUGUGUACCAGUACAACAAUUUGUACUUAAAAACGGAGGAGGAGAAAACCAAAACAUAUAUAAUUAUUGAUUGUACCUUUUACUGUAUUAAUUAGAUAAAUAAUAGUGUUAACGUAGAUUUUGAUUAUCGAGAUAUCAAAUCACGAAGCUAACUUUGGUUCUUAUCUAAGCAUGUCACCAAUGUGGUGUUGGAGAUAUGAGUGGUUCAACAGAGAUCAUUUGUGUGUGUUUGAUAAAAGCAUAUUUUCAUCGUAAAUAAUAAUUAUAUGACGUCAAUUAUAGGUAUAUAAAAGCUAUAUAUUUAAUUAUAUUUAAAAUAUUAAUUUAUAAUUAUAUUUUCUUCUGGCUCGUCUCGUACUACUUAUUAUAAUCAUUUCAUCUUUUCUAAUUAUCACAUCUUCCGAACACAUUCUUUCUUCUUCUUUUUUAUAAAGAUUAAAAAAAAUUAAAAGUCUCUAAAAAAAUUAAGGGUACUUUACCUCUUAAUUUUCCUCCAAUUCUUAAAUCAGUUCAACCUAUUAAUACAAAUCGAUUUAAAUUAAUAUUAUAAUUAAAAAAGCUAUUACUAGUGUCAAUACCAAUAUCAUUGCUAUUGCCAAUAUCAAUACUAUAAUCAUUAUCAUUACCAUUAGCAUUAUCAUUAUUAAUAUCAGUAGCUACCGAUUGAUUGCUGAUCAUCUUUACCACCCAAUCUCAUCGAUAAGUAUCACUUAAUCUGUUCAGCAAAACAUGGAGUCGUUUACACGAGACAAUAUACUGUCUUCAAACACAGACAAAGAACACACAUGUCGAUUACUAUGCACUUGUGCACAUCCAUCUCAUGUAUCAUAAAUGAAGGAUACAGGCAUGCUUAAAAACCUUCAUGCCCAUGUACGUAGUUGAGAUGAUAUAAGCUUCAUCUCAUCCUCUGGCAGAAUGGCGGGCAAACCCUAGCAACCACAUUCAGCAAGCCUCAGCCAACCCUAACUCUCCAUCAAUCGCAUGCAUCACGAGAGCUGAUUCUACUUGAACUGCAGGCGGCUGGAGAAGGUCUGGCCAAAACCCCAGUUGGAAGGGACGAUGUCAGGGAAGACCAACGUCUGGCCGUCGCUGGUUGUCACCUUGAAGGAGAUGGACUGUCCAUUGAGGUAGGCGGUGGACUGCCAGUUGGCUCCCCAGUUCCUUGACAUCGGCUGCCACCCCGUAUUGGAUCCCUUGAUGGACAUGGACUGGAUCGAUCCGGCUGCUGCGACGUUGGUGACGAGCACCAGCUCGAAGUAGUCCCGCCCGUUGAUGGUGAACCUCACCCCUCCAUGCUUCUUGCAUGGAACCCUGCGUGGCAAGGAGACAUGGUUGGUCCAGGUCGAGCAUGCUCAUGGAUUCGUGAGAGAAGUAAGAGGGGAGAACCACCUCUGGAACAGCACCGGCACGAUCCCGCCGCGGUAGAUGCCGAUCUUCUCCCACGCCGGCUGGGCCAUGUCGAAGUGCUGGCGAGGGGUGUUGCACCACCCGCCGUUGUCGUUGGGGAGCGCGUUGUUGGGGGGGCAGAAGUUGGUGGCGGUGACGGUCACCGACACGCCCCUGACGCACCACCGCGGAUCCGUCUUGAAGUCGCAGACGAUCUUGUAGCAUUGCCCGCACGCCGCGCCGUCGUUGAACAGCGCCGUGCUCAGGGCGGCGGUCCUGGUGCCGUACCCCGCCGAGUACAGGUCGCCGUAGCCACAAGCUCCACCUGCACACCAAACAAUCCACUGAGACCUCGAAAUCACAUGGCCGCAGCAAGAUCCGUCCUCCUAAUUACCCAUUGUUCCCGACGCAUCACUGCCACCGUAAAACGUGGCGGAGCCCUUGGUCCACCCUGAUCGUGCAAGGCCUUCGAUCGUGGUGAACGAGCAGCAGCUCAGGAUUAGCAGAGCGAAGAGGCCAAAGUUGACGCCCAUCUCCAUCCACCUCGAAGUGAACACUUCCUGUCAAGGGGAUGGAUGCUAACAUCAUUUAGAGGCUGUCUAUAUAGGAGGAGAAGGCAAAUGGCAUGUGACUGCUGCAGCCACAUCCAUGACUUGCGGGCGUCCAUUAGUCGUCUUCCUGCCAUCGACUACAGAUCGCAUCAGUCCCAUGCUAUCUUUCUCAAUGGGCUGUCAUUUGUUUAUGUGGGCAAUCAAUUAGGUUUCAUGUGAUCUCUUUGGCUGCUAAGAUUCAUCAGAAAGGUGGAGUUGUUAAGUGAGAGGCAUCACAUGGUCACAUGCUCCAAACUGAGAGCAAGCACAUGGUUUAUGACCUUUGUGUUGGUUGGCAUGGAUUCUCUCCAAAUAUAUAUUCGCUUCGGAUUAGGUUUUUGAUCUGCCUGCCACUUGCAGAGCAGAGGUAGGUGAAAAGAAACAAAGAAGAAGUGAGCUUAGCACCUGAAGAAGGAAAGGGAAAAGGAUAAACUGUUAGACAGUAGAAAGAUUAAUGGCUGAUCUGAACAUGUCUAGCUAUGAUACUGCAUGAUAAUGGCACAGUGGAGAUCUUUCAGUAUAGUUAACUCCUAUGUUUGCCAAUGGACUGUCUUAUUGUAGUGUCUAUUUCUUGGAGAACUCCUUGUCGGUGCCGAGAUCUGAGAUAUAUGAGCUGGAGAGAAGGUGAAAGAUUCACUGGACACUGAACUUGAGAGAUGUCAGGAAUAAGAGGGAGGAUCAGAAACUUUUCUCGCUCCCUUUGGCCUUUUCUCCCCGACACGAGCUUCAUAUAUUUCAGAUCGCUUUUCACAAGAGGAGAAGCUCGUGGACAAGAGAAGCUUUUCACAUGAAUGAUUGAACAUGCCAAUUAAAGAGAGAGAGAGAGAGAGAGAGAGAGAGAGAGAGAGAGAGAGAGAGAGAGAGAGAUGUUGGAUUGUGUUUUGGUUACACACUGAUUGGUGUUUGCGGAGACACUUCCUGUGAACCAAAGUCAUUUUGGGGGGUCGUACCAACUUGAUCUUGUCGGUGAUUGACUUGUAUACCUUCGUAGAUUUGGAGAUGCAUGUCGUCGUACGUAUGGAAGGACUGUGAUGGUAAUGCAACGCACAGCUUUGAGACGUAGGACGAGUAAUAGUUUUUCGAAUGAGAGAGGAAUAGAGAUAAGGAGAUAAGAAAAUAAUAAUGAUAAAUUAAUGCAAAAUAAGAAAAUUCAAAUUGUUGCACCUCCAUACAUCUCAAUAGAAUUAAUUAUACAAGACAUAAUUAAUGGUCUCACACCACUCGUACAUAAUGUGAGAACAAAAUUAAUAUAUUAAAUAUUUGUUUAUAUUUUUUUAGACUUCUCAUGUAAUUCGAUUUAUUAAUUAUUUUUUAUGAUUUUUUUAGCAUUCGAGAAUAAGAAUAAGAUGAAAAAUAAGGAAAUAAGAAAAUCAUGAUCAUAUCAAAUCAAAUAAUAAUUUUGACUUGAUUUUAAAAAUAAAAUUUCUCUAUAUUCUUAACCGAUAGAAUUUCAUUCUCGUAAGGAUGAAUACUUAAAAUCUUCUAUUAAGAUCUCUCAUCUUUAAUGAUCAAAUAUGAUUUCUUUUAUUUUCUUCUUUUUGUCGAGUAGAUAAUGACAUGAGACAACUUUUGUAUAUGUAAAAAAUUCCUAAAGCAAUCAAAUAUAUUUAAAUAAAAAUAUAUUAAUUUAGUUCUGUGUCACUUUGGUAAACUAUUUUGUCUUUAUUCACCUCAUAAUUAUGUUAUGAUACAAGCACUUAAAAAAUAAAUAAUUAUAUAAUUUAGUGAGCCAAAAAAAGUAAGAUAAGUCUUUGUGAAACGAUUAAAUUAUUUUUUGAUAAUCUAAAUGACUUAUAAUAGGAAAAACUGAUUAUCAAAAUUUCUUAAUUGUAAAUUGAUUAUCGUUAGACUAAUAAUACAAAAUUUACUACGUAUAGUCCACUAUGGGUAACACAUUUGGUGCAAAACCAUUAGCAACCAUAAGCCAUAGUAUUCCACUUAUUUGAAGUCGCCUAUAAUAACCUUUCUUCAUUGUGUUAAGCAAUUAAUUUCAACAUGGACUUAGUCUUGGCUUGAUUAUACCAAUGUGUAAUAGUAGCAUGUAGAUCAAUCACAUAGAUGGAAUUGGAAAUUUUAUACACAUAGAUGUAAUAGUACCAUGUAGAAGUUGAUAUAACUAAACUAUACUCAUCUUGUAUGUGUUCUAAGGAAGUGCUCCAAGUUUGUGUAGUUGACUAGUUCUGAAUGAUAAGUCAACGUGCAAUCCCAUGUGAUCACCAUAGCUUUUGCAUCUGCAGGUGCUUUCCAAGCAAGGCAGACUAUUUCUCAGAUUAGAGAGAGAGAGAGAGAGAGAGAGAGAGAGAGAGAGAGAGAGAUGGCACUGAGUUUGACCCAAUUGUGAUGAGCUUUCUUUCCAAAGAGGAGAACAUGUCCAGUACUGUUCCGUGUCAAAAGUCAGAAGGAACCAAGAAAACUAAUGUCUACAAAGGAACUCAAACAGGAGGAGUUCGAGCGGUUUGUGCUCAUACCGGUAAGUGCUGGUCGUCGAUGUCGGCGCCCACUUGAGCUAUUAAAUGUUAGAUCUCAGUCAACCACGAAGAACACCUACGCCAGACAGCAGCUUCAUUCCGCCAACUCCGGGGGGAAUGAACUCAGAAGAUACACCAACUCCGGGCCAAUCUGAACUGAUGCUGACACAACACCAAUCUCCUUCCCCACCAACUGCAAUCAGUAGCUGUAAUGAGUAGAUUUAGUAUCCUAUCGAAAGCGAGAGAAGAUAUGAAUACGUUCUUUAAAGUCUAGUUAGGUCUAACACUAUUAAUUUGGACUUUAAAGUGCAUUUGAGAUCCAACUCAACAUAGUUAAUGAGUUAAUUAUUCUAUCAGAUCGAAUCAUAUUAUUCGUUCCAUGAAUGAGACUUGAGAGCAAGUCAUAAUACGAAGUUAUCGUUAGGUUACACUUCACGUGUACUAUGCUAUACUUUAAUUUUGUAUUAUGUUACAUUAAAUUCUUAAUUGGAGAAUAUUAUAAUGCUCUGAUAUAGUCGUAUAUCGGAAGUGAGGGAUGAUUGGAAUGAAACUCGUACUUAGCAAAUCAAUUAUCCGAUAAAAUCGAAUAAGGUGUUUGUAUGCAGGUCUAAUUCUGUGAUGGAAGGUGAAGUGAGUCAGUGAAAUAUUGUCUCACUGCUCAAAAUAAGGGAAGAUGAUUCAGAUGGAGAAGAACAUAUUGUUGUGUGGAUUCAAAAUGCAUCAGUGAACAGCCAACAAAGUUCAAAAUGCUGCCACAAACGGUGUAAAGCAAAGAUGAAGAGAAGUGCUUACGUUAGUGUAUUUUUUUGAGAUAAAAGCCUACAUUUGUAAGCUCAAAGUAUGGUGUCAAGCCUUCUUCAUGUCAUUCUGCAGGAGAACACUUCUCUCUGAAGGGAUUUCUUUAUGUCAUUCGUCUUCUCUUUACAUCUUAACUAUAAUGAGAGUUCGAAUCCUCAAUCCAUGGAAACAGAUCGAAAACAUACCAUCCAACUAAUCAUUUAGAUGUAAGAAAAUUGGGUUGAUAUAAAAGAUUAUGUAUGAUUAUUAUUAAUUUGAGCUUAAAUAUUGCUAAGUCAGUGAUUUAAACUCAUCAAAUUAAUUAAUUGAAUAUCUCAUUUGGCUAAGUUAGAUCAUACAAAUUAUACUUUUACUAGACAUUUGGGAGUUAGAUCAUAGAUAAAUUAGUCUACUAGCAUUAACAUAAGUUUUAAGUAUUUUGGAGCAAUGAUUUAAACUCAAUCAAAUUAAUUGGUUAAUUAUAUCAUAAUAUCCAACAUCUGAUAUAUAAUCUAUCAAUAAUAUAGAAUCUAAUCUACUUAUUAUCUUUCAAAAUCACAAGUUAUUCUCUUGUAUAUUUUUAGAAUCAUGAUAGUCUCAUUUAUACAAGUCAAUUGCUACUUUAUGUUCUAGAAUAGCUUUAUAACACCAAAAAGGUUGCCUUCUUAUCUGAAACAUUUAUGGAACACUAAAUGACCAACUCAAGCUUUUCAUGAUCUUUUAGAAUCUGAAUUAAGGCAUAGAAAAUAAUGAUGGUUGAAUUGGCCUCCAAUCGGCUUUCUUAUCCUCAUCCAGAUAGGAGAUAUCUCUCUCCUGUGUCUUAUUAUAUAGAGCAAGUGGAGAAAUGUGGUUUGCUUCUUUCCUAAUUCUCUCUUAAUUUUUGUCUAUUAUAUUCACAUUUUCAACAUGAGCAUUAAGAAGUGAAUUCACGCUUAUUCUACAUCAUUGAUCAAUCUCUUAAAUAAUGUAUCGAUUACCUUAGUUGAUUUGGUCGUAUAAUGAUCAUGAUCCAAAAGUCUAACACAAUAUACAAUGUAGUAAUUUAGAAAGAAUAAGAACACAUCACAUGAAGAUACAUUAAGGGAAUAUACAAUAUAUAAUGUAGUAAUUUUAUUCAUAUCAGUCUUUUCAUAACCCCUUUCUAUUUCGAAAUAGUUUGUUUUCUCUUAUUAUCGGAUAAAUGUGUUGUUGACUUUUUUUUUUGUUAGCUAAAUUUAGAUUCCUAUCUUUUGAUUAUCAAAUAUAUAUGCCUUUUAUAUUGGUUUUGACUAUCAUAAUAGUUGAUAAUAUUUUAGAACCAUAAGCAAUGUCUCCAAAUAGGUUCAAUUUAGGUUUGGAUAUUGAACAGAUAAUAAAAAUUAAUUUAGUUUUUUUUAUCUUUAAUUUUAGUGUGACUUUUUUCUUAUAUUUUAAAUUUUAUUCAGAGGAAAUAGAUCGUAUCAAUAACGAGUAUACAUGACAUGAUAGUCCGAUCAUUCGAUAUUAAAAAGAAUAACGGAUAUAAAAAAAAGUAACUUAAAAUUUUAAUAUUUUAGAAGAUAAACUAUGACAAAAAAACACCAAGGAGUGAAUCAAACUCGGCUUUCUUACUCUUAUCCAAAUAUGAGUUGGAGAUUCUAUCCAAAGUCUUAUUUUAUAUAGCAAUAAAAGGAGAAUAUGAUAAUACUAAGAAAUAGCGUUAUUUAUAUAUUUUAAAAGAUAAUUCUCACAUCACAAAUAUACAUGACAGUGCUUUCAUAGUUUCAUGUAUCAAUUCCUUAACAAAGCUAAGUGCCUCAUUGAGAUUAUUGGCUCACAAAAAAAAUUGAAAAUAAUAUAAAAUAUAAGUUUAUUUUGCAAACACUCUACAAAUAUUAUUAAUAAAGCCCAAUAUAAUAAUAUAUAUAGCUUUUACAUUUGUGUCGACCAUCACAUAGUUUUGGAAAUAUAAGGGNNNNNNNNNNNNNNNNNNNNNNNNNNNNNNNNNNNNNNNNNNNNNNNNNNNNNNNNNNNNNNNNNNNNNNNNNNNNNNNNNNNNNNNNNNNNNNNNNNNNNNNNNNNNNNNNNNNNNNNNNNNNNNNNNNNNNNNNNNNNNNNNNNNNNNNNNNNNNNNNNNNNNNNNNNNNNNNNNNNNNNNNNNNNNNNNNNNNNNNNNNNNNNNNNNNNNNNNNNNNNNNNNNNNNNNNNNNNNNNNNNNNNNNNNNNNNNNNNNNNNNNNNNNNNNNNNNNNNNNNNNNNNNNNNNNNNNNNNNNNNNNNNNNNNNNNNNNNNNNNNNNNNNNNNNNNNNNNNNNNNNNNNNNNNNNNNNNNNNNNNNNNNNNNNNNNNNNNNNNNNNNNNNNNNNNNNNNNNNNNNNNNNNNNNNNNNNNNNNNNNNNNNNNNNNNNNNNNNNNNNNNNNNNNNNNNNNNNNNNNNNNNNNNNNNNNNNNNNNNNNNNNNNNNNNNNNNNNNNNNNNNNNNNNNNNNNNNNNNNNNNNNNNNNNNNNNNNNNNNNNNNNNNNNNNNNNNNNNNNNNNNNNNNNNNNNNNNNNNNNNNNNNNNNNNNNNNNNNNNNNNNNNNNNNNNNNNNNNNNNNNNNNNNNNNNNNNNNNNNNNNNNNNNNNNNNNNNNNNNNNNNNNNNNNNNNNNNNNNNNNNNNNNNNNNNNNNNNNNNNNNNNNNNNNNNNNNNNNNNNNNNNNNNNNNNNNNNNNNNNNNNNNNNNNNNNNNNNNNNNNNNNNNNNNNNNNNNNNNNNNNNNNNNNNNNNNNNNNNNNNNNNNNNNNNNNNNNNNNNNNNNNNNNNNNNNNNNNNNNNNNNNNNNNNNNNNNNNNNNNNNNNNNNNNNNNNNNNNNNNNNNNNNNNNNNNNNNNNNNNNNNNNNNNNNNNNNNNNNNNNNNNNNNNNNNNNNNNNNNNNNNNNNNNNNNNNNNNNNNNNNNNNNNNNNNNNNNNNNNNNNNNNNNNNNNNNNNNNNNNNNNNNNNNNNNNNNNNNNNNNNNNNNNNNNNNNNNNNNNNNNNNNNNNNNNNNNNNNNNNNNNNNNNNNNNNNNNNNNNNNNNNNNNNNNNNNNNNNNNNNNNNNNNNNNNNNNNNNNNNNNNNNNNNNNNNNNNNNNNNNNNNNNNNNNNNNNNNNNNNNNNNNNNNNNNNNNNNNNNNNNNNNNNNNNNNNNNNNNNNNNNNNNNNNNNNNNNNNNNNNNNNNNNNNNNNNNNNNNNNNNNNNNNNNNNNNNNNNNNNNNNNNNNNNNNNNNNNNNNNNNNNNNNNNNNNNNNNNNNNNNNNNNNNNNNNNNNNNNNNNNNNNNNNNNNNNNNNNNNNNNNNNNNNNNNNNNNNNNNNNNNNNNNNNNNNNNNNNNNNNNNNNNNNNNNNNNNNNNNNNNNNNNNNNNNNNNNNNNNNNNNNNNNNNNNNNNNNNNNNNNNNNNNNNNNNNNNNNNNNNNNNNNNNNNNNNNNNNNNNNNNNNNNNNNNNNNNNNNNNNNNNNNNNNNNNNNNNNNNNNNNNNNNNNNNNNNNNNNNNNNAUAUAUAUAUAUAUAUAUAUAUAUAUAUAUAUAUAUAUGAUGAAGAUUUAAAAAAAAAUACAAUGUGAAGGUAAAAAUUAUAGAGGUUUUUAUUACAAAGAUAAAUGAGAAAUGCUACCAAUAAUUAAAGUCAUUAUCAACUAAGCUAGCUAUUUUCUUAUGAAAAUAAAAUGAUAUUAAAAAAUCCUAAUGAUAUUGAUUUAUUUUUUUAUUUCAUUCGAUAUUUUUAGUGAUAACAAAGAAUCUAAAUUAAGCUGGUUUUGACCCCUAAUAUCAUCCUUAAUCCAUUAAAGGAAUUAUAUUUUUCUGGAACCAUCUCAUAUAAAUAAAUUAUUAAUAUACAACAACAAUAAAAUCUUAAAGUCUCAAUCAUUUGGAGUUGACUAAAUUAUUUAUAUACACGUGUCAAUGCACGUGUGAUCCAACGUGAAGUUGGCAUUACACACGUGGGCUGCUCCUACUGGGUCGGUGGUCCAAUCUGACUUCAUUAUCUCAGAAAAAUAAUUAGCUAUCCCACCACUAAUCACAUGAAUUAUGCUAAUUAAUCACCUUGAUAUUAUUCCAUUACUUAAUCUAACACCACUUAACCUUCUCAUUACAUAUGGUUUGCACAAACAUGCCAAAAAAGGAGCCAUCCGGUAAAACGUGCAAGAAAGGAAAGGACGUUUCUGUUUCCCAUUUUGCCCAGUGUUCCCGAAAUGUGCCUGUUUCCUUCCCUAAAUGCCCCCUCCUUUUGGUCUUUUUAUGUCCUGGUCUUGUUCGUCUGCCGAAGCUUCAAAGCCAGAGGAGAACCGUCGCCCCAAUCCGCCGGUAGAAACCAGGAGCAAUCCGCUUCAGGGUUCUUCGAUCCUUGAAGCAGGCAACGCGUCCCCCUGAUCUGAGGCGAUCCCGAUCCGAAAGGUUGGCUUUUUACGGCUAUUCAUCCCUGAGGCGUCGGAUUUGGGGAGGGUUUUGUUUUGGGCGAAUUUGGUCGAGUUCCGGUUGGAAUUGACGGGGAGACUAGCUGUUGACGACCAGCGAGCAGAUCGUGUUGCGCUUGCGAGGGAAGUGGAGUCUCUGCUUUCGCGAGCUGAUGCCAUCUGGUGCCGAGAAAGAGAUGGUCCUGGGUUUUGCCAUCGGGCGUUGGAUUUGCAUAGAAGGUAUUCUUGUUUUGGAUUCUUAUUAUCUAUUAUGUGGUUUGACUUCUUAGCGAUCCUCUAAUUUGAGACAAGAAAAAUGGAGUGGACAAAAAGGUGAUCUUGAAACCUGCGUCUUGUUCGUUGUGAAUUUUCUUGUCUCGAUUGAGAAGAAGUUAAUCGUUUGAUCAUCUUUCAAGAAUCAGUGUCUUUGGCUGCUUUACCUACUCCUUUAUCCUUUUCAUUGUCUUGCAACUAAUGCGCUUUAUAUUCCUUAUUUUCAAUCCGCCAGAGUAGGCGAAGGAAAAGGUUGGGGUUUUUCAUUUUGGGAUAGCAGAUUGAAUUACGACACAUGUUGACAACUCAAACGUGGGCUUAGAUGAGAUGAGGGAUGUUAGCAAAAUUGAUGAACCUAUUGAAGGCCUGCUGGCAGCCAUCAUCAAACAAAUAUGCCCAUGCAGGCUCUGACGUGAUCGGUCGGAAGGAUGGGCUUCUCUGGUACAAGGACAGUGGACAGCAUGUGUACGGUGAGUUCUCCAUGGCCAUGGUACAAGCCAAUAACUUGCUUGAGGAUCAGAGCCAACUUGAGACAGGACCUCUGAGCUCAGUUGAAUUUGGGCCGUAUGGUACUUUUGUGGGGGUUUAUGAUGGGCAUGGUGGUCCAGAAACUUCAUGUUAUGUCAAUGAUCAUCUCUUCCCGCAUCUGAAGAGUAUGUUCCAAACUUACCUGACUCAGUUUAAUUUUUAAACACCACUUGUUAUUUAAUUGAUUAGCACUUCAGUAUUUGUUAGAUAGAAAAACAUGUAAUUUGUUUGGAAGAUUAUUUAUACUGCCAUCAUAAUAUGGAAACUUUUAAUCCAAAGUUUCCAUUGAAAACCUUGUAUGAUGCUUUUUUUUUUUCUAGCAAUUGAAUGGAUCAUUAGCUCCUCAAUUCACAAACAACCUCAACUAUUUUGUAGCUCUACAAAUGUUGUAUUUUCUUUGUUAAGCAAGUCGGUUCAGAGUAGGUUGAUCUUCUGUCUAGGAUGGAUACAAUGAUGCUGAUCUUCUGUCUAAAAUUGGAGGAUUGUAAUUACUAGGACCUAUUUGAUAGAAGUGCUUGGUUUGUCAGGAUUUGCAACAGAGCAGCAGUCCAUGUCAGCUGAUGUAAUACGGAAGGCAUACCAAGCGACAGAGGAGGGUUUCAUCUCCCUGGUGACCGAACAAUGGCCUGUAAAACCUCAGAUUGCAGCUGUUGGCUCAUGCUGUCUGGUUGGGGUAAUCUGUGGUGGUAUGCUAUAUAUAGCUAAUCUCGGAGACUCCCGUGCUGUUUUAGGCAGAGUCGUCAAAGCAACUGGGGAAGUUUUGGCUGUGCAAUUGUCAGCAGAGCACAAUGUAGGAAUCGAGCCUGUGCGACAAGAGUUGCAGUCAAUGCAUCCGGAUGAUAGACAAAUUGUUGUUUUGAAGCACAAUGUUUGGCGUGUGAAGGGCCUAAUCCAGGUGCACAUAAUAUAUAUGUUAUCAUCUUUUGGAUUUAAUUUUCAUGCAUACAUCAACAAUUUUCAUAAAUGUUACUCAUUACCUACGUCUGAUGCUGCACUAUACACUAUACUUCUCACAGGCAUUUAUAUAUAUAUAUAUAUAUAUAUAUAUAUAAUAUUUACCACAAGAGGAAACAAUUUUCUCAAAGAUUACUCAUUAGCUAUACAUGCUUCAGUAGAUUUCUCACAAGCAUAUUUAUAAUUACCACAAUAGGAACAAUUGACCAUUUCAAGUGCACUACUUGCUUGCAUUCUACAAAGCCAUGUAUUGUUGAAAACAACAGUUGCAACUUUAUAUUUGGCUACUCCUUGUAGCCAUUUAGUUUGUUUUAGAUUUUAAAUACCGAAACAUGCGAAGCAAGGUAGGUUUCAUGUUUGGCCCAAGAUAUGGAGCAUUGAGAAGGGACUAAGUGGAAACUUGGAUUGUUAUAUGAUAGUCAUGAACAUACGUCGUUUCUUAUCCUCAAACUGAACUCCCUGGGAUAUUAGCUAUCAUGCAAACGUGGAAAAAUUGGCAUGACAAUUAUCAAACUAUUGAAAUAUUAAAUAAAAACGCUAUUAAGUAUGAUAUGCACUUCCUAACCGACAAUUUCUAAGACUACAAUUGCUUUGAUGAUCUUUGAGUUUAAAAUUAUACAAAGAGACUAACCUUUCUAAAAUUCUCAUUGAGCAGUUAUAAUUUGUGCCUUUCUUAUAUAUCCUUUUUGUGACAUUAAAUUCGGUACAAACCCAAUAGAGAGUUGAAUAGAUUUUUUAUAAAUAAACACACUUCAACUAGCCUAUUAUUCCAAGAAGUUGCUUCACUGAUGCUAUUUUAUGCAUCCUUUGACUUAUGACAGCCAUGAGAAUAUGAUAUAUUGCUAUGGGAUGCCUUUCUUUUGGAACCUAUUUCGGAUCUGUUUCAUUUGCAUGGACUCACUCGCAUGUAGUUAAAUCAUCAAAAGUAUUCCCAGUUACACUUAUUUUACCAGUUUUUUUUAGAUAAUGAUUUUCUAACCACUGAUGGCAUCAGUCUUAGCUGAACUACAUUACCUAAGUCAAGUUUGCCUCUACCUAGAUCAUGUUAUGCAUUGUCACUUUAAGAAAGCUUUUCUGUUGGUUAAUGGUUGAGAUGAAAAAGUCUGAUAAGUAACUAAAACCUGCUUGGACUCAGAAAGCCUACUUAGUCCAAGGUUUUAGCUUUCAGUAGGUUAGGAUUCAGUACAAGAGAGAAAACCGAUAAAUAUAUCUAUAAAAUGGUUGGCCCCAAGUCUUCUCUGGUUCUUGUGUUUUGUAAAUAAUUAUAUUUGUUUAAUUUUUAUGUUAGUGCUGCCUUUGACAAGUGCUUCUCCAGAAGAAAAGCAGCCUCCCAAACCUGUCAGCUAGAAUGCUAUAGUCUUCUUAGGACUGAAAAUAGCAUAUGGUCAGGGCUACUCUGCCCCAAAUCAUAAGUCAAUUCCUAAUUUAUUCGAAAGUAUUUUAUUUAGUAUUCUGUACUAGAAUAUCUUAAAAUAUCUGUAAUCUAUCAAAUAAACCUAUCCGGAUUGACUCGUAUCAAUUGGGCCCAUGAACUACUCUAUCCUGGAGGCCUUAACAGUCUCUAAGUCAAUCCACAAAAGCAUUAUCAGCAUGCUGAAAGUAUCAUCUUAUUAGAAACUGACGUUGAAACACCAGUUAGUAGCUGAUCAACCUAUUUGACCUCUUCAGGGUUUGGUUGUCUUUUUGAGAGCAAAAGACAGCACACAAAAGGGUGGGUUGCAUGAAGAUCUAAUUGCCCUUCAAGGUCUGGCACAACCAGAUAUCAUUUCAGUUACUGGAUCAAUACUUUGGGUUUUGACAAUUGAUGAUAAUCAAGGGCAGCAGGUGAAGACUUUUGUGAUGAUAAAUCCUAGAUGCUUCCUAAUCCAUCUCAACAGAAACAUAUUGAGAUGAUUUUCUUCGUCAACUUGAUAACCCUGAUUUGCAUCAUCUUCUUUAUUUUUCCCUAGCAUGUUAAGAGGAUAGGACGGAUGCAAUCUUGAACAUGCCAUACUACAGUUCCAUUCGGUUGCCAGUGUAAGGUGGAUCUGAGGGAAUUAUUACAGUAUGGUCUAACGUCAGACCACUUGUAUCUGCCUUGAGCCCAGCGAGGGCCUAUUUUUCCCUAGAUCAGCCUUAAAUCAGGGAUGACUGGAUAUAUUUAGCCUUCAAUAGCUUGUUGAAGCCCUACUGCAUGUCAGUCCAGCAACAUUCAGUUCAAAGCAGUCUAAUCCUGUUUUAUAUGAGGUCUAUCUGACUCUUGAAGGGACUGUACAACUCAAUCCUAGUCAAGUCAGAGGAGUGUUCUAUCCAAGCCUUCUAUCCACUCCAAGUUGGAGUAGGUCUAUAUUUUAUUUUCUUAGUAAUUUUUGUACAUAUAUAUAUAGAUUAUUGCAACAGUUCUUUUUGGUGAACCAUUAGAGUCCAAUCCUGAUGUCUAAGUGUCCUAGUAUGGUAAGAUUAGGCAAUUUGUUUAGCUUUUGGAAGUCAUAUUUGGGAGUUCUUAUAUCUUUUAGUUUGAUUUUAUGGGGGAUUAGCUUUUCUCCUAUAUGAUAAGCAAUUUAGUCCAAGAGGCAUGGUUGAGACAUGUAAUUUCUUAUUUGCUUAAUAAUAGCGAUAUUUAGUUAUUUCUCCUCCCUUUCUAACUAUUUUCCCUCAAAGAAGAGUACCUCUCAUUAGGAGAUCCAAUCUUUAUGUGGUAAACAUUAUCAUUUGCCUCACCACUAAACUAGGAACCGAAGCCUCAAUGUCAUAUUUUUGAUAAAACACUUGGCUAUUAUGCACUCUGUAAAUUGUUUUCUUCUGUAAUCUGUGUGUUCAACUUUCGUGUAUGAAUUCUAAAUUUAUCUUCUUUACUUUCUUUUCUCUUUUUGUUGCUUCAUUCUGAUCAAGAGCACCUUUUGCAGAUCUCCAGGUCAAUUGGUGAUGUAUACUUAAAAAGGACAGAGUUUAACCGUGAACCAUUACAUGUGAAAUUCAGACUUCGUGAACCUUUCAAGAAACCUAUAUUGAGUUCAGAACCAUCAAUUACUGUGCAACCACUACAGCCCCAAGAUCAAUUUCUUAUAUUUGCAUCUGAUGGACUUUGGGAGCAUCUUAGUAAUCAAGAAGCUGUUGAUAUUGUUCAAAACAACCCUCCCAAUGUGAGUUCUAUAUCUAUUUUCCCUGGUUGUAGUUUCACAAAAUAUUUUUUAUUUGAUCUUGGAAUCUAUAUCUUACUCAAUUCCAACCUGAACAGAAUGCUCGUUCUUUUCAUCAAAAACCUCAUAAACAAAAAAGAAAAAUGCUAGUUACAAUAAGCAUUCAAUUAACUCAGAUAAAAUGAUAAAAAAAUUAUAAAAUUAUUAUAUGAGAAAAUUUUUAAAUUUUGUGCAAUGUCCGUUUCUUAGAAUUGUAUAUAAAUAACAACAAAAUAAUACAGAAUUAUUUAUGAGAAAAUAAUAUCAUCAUAAUAAGGAAUAUAUUGAAUAAACAGUUUGUGUCUCAUAAAGAAUGCUCAAAAUUUGUAGGUUUGCUGGUAGAGGAUAAUGAUGGACCUCGAGGGAAGUGUUAGGUAAUGCAAACACAAACUUUGAUCAAAGAAAAUGCCUAUUGAAUUUAAGACUAACAGGACAUCCCAUUACUUUUUCCUUCUAGAUUUUGAUCCUUAAUGGGUAUCUUUCCUUCCCUUUCUCCUCUCUUUAUAAACUUUUCUCUCAAUUUCAUUGGUAAUGAACAUUAAAUACUAUAACAAUAGCAAAUGACAAAUAUGAUAGUCGCAAUAAAUAAAAACACAAUAGUAGUAGCAUCUUUGUUAGUUGUGUUUUUGGUCUUUUGUUUGUCUUUCCUUUUUUUAAGCAAAGGAUAAGUAGCGAAGGAUUUGAUCCGAAGACCCUAACAUGAUUUGUCAAGGUUUUUAAGGUUUACCAAACCAAUGUUUUAGGUGUAAAAUAUGUUGGAUGUGGUUUCAAACCCUCAAUUUUUAACAAGUGGAUUUGGUACACCACCAUCAGACUAAUGUUUUAGGUUUAAACAUAUCAUAUGAGGUUUCGAACCCUCAACCCUUUGUAAGUGGAUUUAGUGCACUAUCAUCAAAUUAAUGUUUUAGAUGUAAAAAUAUGUCGGAUAAGAUUUCAAAUCCUUAACUUUUGGAAAGUGGGUAUGGUACACCACCACCUGACUAAUGUUUUAGGUGUAAAAAUAUAUCAGAUGAGUUUUUAAACCCUCAACCUUUGAUAAAUGGGUCUAAUGAUGGUACUAGACCCACUUAUCAAAGGUUAAGGGUUCAAAACCGUAUUUGAUAUAUUUUUUUCAUCUAAAUUAUUAGUCUGGUUAUGAUAUAUCAGAUUCACUUACCAAAGGUUGAUGAUUUGCAAUCUCAUCAGACAUAUUUUUUACCGAAAACAUUGGUGUGAUGGUGCUUUCCUUUCUUACAUUGCUAUCACUAGACCCACUUAUUAAAGAUUGAGGGUUUAAAACCUUAUCUAAUAUAUUUUUUUCACCUAAAAUGUUAGUCUGGUUAUAGUGUAUCAGAUCCACUUACCAAAGGUUGAUUGAUGUAGAAUAGAAUAGGGAAGUAGAGAGAGAGAGAGAGGGAAAGAGAAAGAAAGAGAAGUGUGAGAUAAGAGAGGCGAGUAAGAGACUAGAGAAGAUACAAUUUUUUUAAUUCAAAUCUAAAAAAUGCUUGAUCUAUUGACAAGCUUUACUAUUUAUAAAGGUUUAAGAGCCUUGACACAAUUAAUGAAGAUGAUAAUUCCCAAGAGUAAUCUCCUAGGGAAUUAGUAUACUUUUUAGAAAUCCAAAAUGUGAUUUCUCGAUACCUAAAUACUAAAUGAGUGCACUUAAUAUAAAAGGAGUUCCUAAAAAGACCAAAAGAUUUUUUUUUUAAUUUUCAACACAACUCCUAGAAUUUCUAGACCAACUAAUUGAUGAUUUUUGUUGAUUUCCUUGCCUAGAAUAAACUUUUCUGAAAUCCAUUUUAAAACAAGAUGGUUCUUCAUCAUUAAUUGUUCACAAUCUCAUCUGACAUAUUUUUCACUUAAAACAUUUGUUUGGUGGCGCUUUCCUUGACUACACUCCCUUCUAUUUUUUUUAUUCUUUUGACUUGUCAAAUGGCCUAAAAUUUGUCAAUACCUGUCAAGUUUGCUUGAUUCUAGCCAAUUCUAUUACCAAUUUGUGGUUGUAAGGUUGAGAAUUAAGCAAAACCAUAUGGUCUUGCAUGUUGUCUUAAAUGCCAUGUCAGUUAAUAUCAACACAAGAUUUCAAGUCAUGGAUUCUGACUCACUGGAUGGACUUCUUAGAGUCCUGAGGUGUCCUUUUGCUACAAAAGAAGGCAAUUUGGUUACUCUUUAUGAAGAGUUUAGCUAGUUUAAAAGGGUAUAAAAUCAUUAGUAAUUUUUAGCCUAUUGUAAUUAAAAAUUAGGCAUUAGUAGCCUAUAAAUGAGUCUGUAGAACCUCCUAAUUGUUCUUCUUGGCUACUUUAAAAUAUAUUUUGUAGCAAUAAAAUCCUUUUAAGUCCAUAUAUUAAUCUUUUGAGGACCAUUUCUUCCUCAAAUUAGAGAAAACCCAGUUAGUGGUGGCUGCACCGAACACUCGGUAUUCCUUAGUAAUGCAUAGCACUGAGAACCAUGCCUACCUAAGAUGCAUGCAAUUCUAUGAAAUGUUUGCCGCUAAUAGGUUGGAAAUGACCAAAAUGGCAAAAUUGUUUCACUCAAAUCUUUUUAAUAGACAUCACAACUGGAAUGGCACCGUUGAAAUUACAGGCACAGUCACUGCCACCUUAGCCAGGUAAUAUCUGAUAUAUUACUUCAUCGUCAUGCAAAACAAUCUUAAAUGUCAUGGAUAUGCUAAUUCGGUUUUAUUAUUUGAGAUAAAGUGUUCAAUUUUGAUAUUAUGAGGAUGUGAAAAUUACUCAUAAUAAGGCUGUAGUAGGAAAAGCUAAAACAUUUAAUCUCAUUAUCUCGGUUGGCUUUUAAGAAUCCCUAUUUGAAAAGUCUAAAGAAUGUCUGAUUUGUUAGAUGGAUGUCCAACACAUGGACAUCUGAACUUGGGACUGGAGGGUAAGCAUAUUGGUAAUGUGGCCUACAGAAAUCAACACAGUUCUUACAAAUAUUAAAUUGUCUGUUGGUGCAAAUUUUAUUGACUUGCCUUCCAGUUACUAUACAUUGGAUUGAUUUCACAAACAGUGGGGUUUGAUUGUCCAUUUGCACGAAUUCUGCAGGGAAGUGCUCGAAGGCUUGUCAAAGCUGCGCUUCAAGAAGCAGCCAAGAAACGAGAGAUGAGAUACUCCGAUCUCAAGAAGAUCGAUCGUGGAGUACGGCGGCAUUUCCAUGAUGACAUAACUGUUAUUGUUGUGUUCCUGGACUCCAAUCUUGUUAGCAGAGCCAGCUCAUUGAAGGGCCCCUCCCUGUCAUUGAGAGGGGGUGGAGUCAAUGUGCCAGCCAACUCUCUUGCACCCUGCACCAUGCCAACCCAACUCGGUGCCUCCUGAUAUACUCCUCUCAGUUCAUUAAUUAUGUGUAUGAAAUUAAAUCAGACCAGCCUCCAUGAUCUUGCCCUCACCAGCAUCAGUCGAAAUGGGCUCAAGGACAGAUACAUCUGUUUUAACCUAUUAUAUUGUGCCAAUUCUCAUGUAAGAAUAGUUCAUCUGUGUAUUAUGCUUCUAAACUUGGGAGGAAGUAAUGUUUCAGAAUCAACAAUGAAGGACCACCAAGGCAACAGUUUUCACUACUCUCUAAUAUUUUUCUUUGACCUGUUCUUCUUGGUAAUCAGCUCGAUAAUUCAUUUAAACCACUUGAUAUGUUUCUAGUAGAUGAUUGCCAGCAGAAUGUUGAGUAACAAGUGCUUAAAUUCAUUGAGGUGACCUGUUGCUGCUCAAAUGGAUGGGAUUGAGCUCCAAAACUUAUUCUAACCCAAAAUUUUGGGUUAGUAAUCAACACUGAUGUAUCCUAAUCUUCUUCCUUUCAUAUGACAGCCAUUGCCAUUCGUGCCCCUUUCUGGGCUCAUCAGUGACUUUUAAUUGAAGUACCUUAUGCUAUCAACUUAAUCAUACAAUUAACGUGCAGUUAAUUUGUUGCAAUCUCAUUUUGAUUAGAAGGACAAAUCAUUUGUGCAAUGUGGCCAACAUUAAUGCCUUAUCCUUUUGGUCAUUUGUGGAAGCUUGAAGCUUUAGGAACUUGCUCUAUCUCAUCUUGUUCUUCAACAAGUAGGUAAAACUUCCAGCACAAACAUUUUCUUAUACAUCUUGGCAAUUAGAGUGCAGGAUUUCUUAUGAUAGAGGAAAGAAGAAAGAUUUAUAUUCCACAUGAAGAAGACGACCAACUCUCUUUCAUCAAGAGGAACUCAAUGAAUACAUAAAGAACACUAACUCUUAAUAUAAGCAAGACUCGGGAGUGGCACACCAAGCACAGUGAGCUUAGUUAACAGUCACCUUCCCCACCAUUCCAGCUCCCUGGUGAGGAGCGCAGUAGAAGGUGUAGGUGCCCUUCUCCUUCAAGGUCACCUGGUAGGUCUCGCCUGGGGCAUUCAGUAGGUCCUCCUCGGGCAUGGAGAUGGAGCCGACGUUGACACCCGCGGGGAUCUCGUCCUCGUCGAACACCACGUUGUGGGGGAACCCGGCGUUGUUCUUGAACACGAUCGUCUCCCCCGAGGGCACCGAGAACUCGUUGG
rnacentral:lncRNA from 1 species